rnacentral:lncRNA from 1 species
UAGGGAUGUGAAAAAGGAAAAAAAAUCAAGUUGUAAUAAUUAUGUUAAAUGGGAUUGUAUUUGGAACUUAACAAGAGUUGAAAAUGUAAUAUGUAAAAUGUAUGUAUGUUGGAUGCUUGUAAUAGCAUAGCGUUUAUGUUUUUGAUACCUUCCUUAUGCAAUCUUUGUUUGAAUGCUGUUCCUGGUUGAAACCUCGCGCAUUGUAUGAUUGUGACGUCUUGGACGUACAGGGGAGACUCUGUCCGCGAUACAGGGGAAACCCUGUCCGUUCGGCGGUAUGUUGGCGUGCCCGAAUCCGACCAAAUAGGUGGGGCUCGGGGCGUGACAACUAUAGUCAAUCCAUUUCCAUAAGAAUAAGCCGUGAAGUAUCGUGUACCGUGCAGAGGUAUUCACCAUCCCAACAUCUUUUUGAGUGUUGAUAGUGUUAUAUCAAAUAUGACAAAUUCGUUUUGACCUGAAGGUGUAUUUAUACUAGUAUGCUACUUUUUGUAUACCCAUCUAGCAUAUAGGUACACUAAUACAGAAGUAAAGCACAAUAUUUAAGGACUUGCCCUGCAUGCCUAAAAGCGACAGCUAUAGAUUAACCGGUGCACACCUUUAAAAUUAUAGCAAGUACCUAAAUAAAUUAGUGACAUGUCUUCUCUUGCAAGUCAGUACAUACUUUGACUUGAUUCAUCCCGCAGGUGCUGACAGUGGGUGUCUCAUAUAUGUAGAUUCUACUAUUACAUGUCGGUAAUAUUACUUAAUGCCUGACUUAUGAAUAAUCUGCAUGAUAAGACAUGUCAAUUUCCUUUAGUAUUGUCUUUUGAGUUGGUAAAGGUGUACCUUAGUCCACCAGAGGUAUUCCAUUGGACAUUAAGAUAGGAAUGCACGGACAGACCUUCAUAAUUUAUUAAUAUAGCUAGCACUGUAUAAUGGGUAGGGGUGGAAACGAGCCGAGCUCGAGCGAGCUUACCUCAGCUCAAACUUGGCUUGAAGUUAUUUUCGAGCCUAAAUUUAGGCUCAAGCUUCGCUUGAAAUUAAUUCGAGCCGAGCUCGAGCGAGCCUAACUUCGAGUCGAGCGAGCUCGAGCCCUAAAUGAGCCGCUUAAAAUUCUUAACAUCAUGCAAUCUAUAAUUUAAUUUUUAUAAAACAUUAUGUAAAAUUUGAUACAAAAUGUCACGCCCCGGGACCGGCGGAGGCCCUCCCGGUANGACGAGUAGCUAUAAUUCUAAAGCUAAUACAAAAUAGUUGGGGAAGGGCUGGUUAAGUAGAGCUUCAGAGUAUUUUCAUCAUAAGCUGUAAGCUUUUACAACUAUGGGAGAUAGUCCUACGGGGGCGUUAUACAGGUAUUAAUCAACCACUGAUCACUUGCCAGAUCACGCUGUACCAGAGAAUAUGUUCCAUAAAACUUUGAGUUUCUGUGGAAGCAACUAUUUGUAUUGAACGUGGAGUAGGGUUAUUAGAAGGAGAAGUAGAUUCUUACGGUACUCUAAGCGGUGUCAACCUCUAGAUUUUUGAGCUGCUAACUAAUUGACUCAGUAGUGAUGUUAGGUUGUUUUUUUAUUUUUCGUUAAAAAUCUUUCUUACUUGUAAGAUUAUACGUACAAUUAAAUGUGUUAGAUUUUUACGACCUAAUACUUCACCGUUAAAGCUAAAGUCUACCGAGUCUACAUUUUUCCAAAUCUUAUUUUGACACCGACAUCACCCUAACCAGGUAAGAAGGGAUGGUAAAUGUAGAUGAUGGGAAAAUACGUAGUAACAGCUUUGUUUUUACACUAUACUUAUACGACGUAUUUCUCUUCGUUACCUGUUUUAUGAUGAUAAUCAAGGUUUACCAAUUCUUUAACAUUAAUAUUAUCCUUUUUUUACACGACGAUAGUCAAAGUAUACCAAUUCUUUUACGUUAGUAUUUUCAGGUAACUACAUUCGAUCGAAAGUUCACAUUCCCAAACGUUAUUUUACAAUAACCGUUGACGUCACCAGACAGGGACGGAGGUAUGGUAAAUAUUGUGGUAUAGUAACUGAUUUGAUGUUAAAUUAUGUUUUUUACGACGUAUUAAUCGUUAUCGUUACGAAUUUCUCGUUAUUGUAUCUAUGUAUUUCUCGUUCUUAUCACGGAGAACUAUACGACAGUAGUUAGUAAGAAUCAAAAGUUUCACGUUAUUAUAUCCACGUAUAUCACGUCCUUUUUUCUAAUAUACGACAGUAGUUAAGUAAUUUCUCUUUGACGUACUCAUAUCAAGGUAAAUUUCGUCUUGUAUUUUUUCUUUUUUAUACAACGGUAGUAAAGGUGUCUCUAUCUCUUGACCUUCAUAUUUCCAGUACAAUAAAUUCGUCCUAAUUCUCACUUUCCCAAAUUUUAUUUUACCACCGACGUUAUCAUCAGUAGGGAUGAAGGUUGGUAAAUGUAUUUUUCGUCCUUGUUACGGAGAACUAUAGCACGGUAGUUUAUAUCUAUCAAAUGUUUGACGUGUUUAUAUCUACGAAUUUAUCGUCCUUGUUUUUUAAUAUACGAUGGUAGUUAAGUUCUAAAAUUUAUAUUGAUAUAAUAUGUAAGUAUUCGUUUCAAUGUCUCCUUUUUAUACGACGGUAAUUAGGAAUUAGUCACGUUUUUGAUGUUAUAAUAUUCGGGGUAGCCAAGAUUAAUUAAAUUUUAUCGUUAUUAAUCAAAAAUUUGUCGUCCUAUAAUGAUAAAAUUUGUCACUUCAUUGUAGCAAGGUAUGUAAACUCAAAGGUUGAUGUAACUGGUAUUUAUCAUGCUAUUUCCUAUUGUAUUCGACGAUAGUUAAGAUGUAUCUAAUCUUUAUCGGUAUUAUAUCCUUUGAUUUUCUGGUAUUUAUAUCAUCAAAUCUAUGUUUUUUCCCGCUUUGUCAUCCUUGCAUUAAGUAUAUCCGGAACGAUUGGUGUAUCUUUUGGGUUUUAUAUAGUUCAAACACACGUUCCGGCGUUUUUGGUCCACCGUCUAAUUUCUAUAAAUAGAUCAAUCCUCCCUUCCUCCCACGCAGUCCGUACAAAGGUCACCGGUCGGCAACGUACUGGUGAACUGCCAGUUAGGUGUAUAUGUUUUAUAGAGGUGAGUAUCUGUACUUGUAACUGGAUAACGCGAGUAGGAACUUUCGCAGUGUACGUCUCUCCUAUCGAAGUUCUCUAUCUGGCCCUUACAAUAAAUCAGAAUGGUAUGUGAGGAGAUACCUCACUUCAAAACCUGUUCGCAGUUAGAGUGCGACAUCGUUAGCGAGUCGAUACAAGUUAGAAAAAAACGGUUCGAGUUGGUUGAGAACGUAUGUUAGUCUCAACAAAAGUUAAAAAGGAAAUGCCCAACUACAGCCACAUCAGAAUGCACUGCCUCCACUCCUUGCUGCAGAGAAUGGUCUUCUUCAUACUCGUCUUCGUGAUCAUUACACGCCUAAAGGUGAGAAUUGACCCCAACCUCACCCUCUUAUACUUCAACGUAGUAACUACGGUAGAAGUAAAACGCCGCUGUAACGGUACCCAUUAACCACCGAUGGUCUUCAAACGGGUACAGGACUUCCUGGCCGGUACCUAAAAGACUAAACGAGAUUUUACCGCCAACACGGGCCCCUACUACUACUGUACGAUGCUUGUAGGAGUGAAACGUAAGGUCAGCAUUUAGGUACGGAUGGGCAUCGUCACCAGAAAGGUCUAUUCUUGAGUUACAGGAAUAUACGUCCCUUGCCAAACAGGGAUGUGAAUCGUAUUCGACUUAAAAGAACAUUGUUAUAUUUUGUGUUACCAGUUGACUCUUUUGAUAUUAAUAUAUUUUUAAUUUUAAAGUUCUAUUAACCAAGUUGUUGUAUGGCGAUGGUGAUGUAAGGUUAGUGAAUCCAGCGGACGACAACCUUACAACGCUAGUAUUAGGGUUGGGGUAGGUGAGAAUAAUCGAUUACAAACUAUGUACUGCUUAACAGCGAAGUUGUGAAAAUCAGCUAAAACAUUUACCGAAAAUUGUUUCAAACGAAAACAAGCGUCCAACUUUAGUACUUAAUAAGAAGGGGUUCGUUCACCUCAUUUUGAAGGUAACUGCUUUAAAGGUUCUUGUACAAGAAGACAGUAGUUCAAGUUGUAACGGCUUAGGUACUGGAAACAGGUUAAAGGUCUCGCAUGAGACCCAAAGCUCUAAAGGACUGACACCGAAACCUCCGAAACCGAUAGUCAACUCCACUGUAGUUAUUGCAAAUACAAAACAGAAUGUUUUGCUACUUGAACAGAUAAAACUCCAUCGUAGACUUCAAUUAGUUGUAUAUUUAUUUAUUUAUUUAAUUGUUCAGCAGCACUUCAUGUCGAAUAUCAUUCAAUUGUACCGAAUCUUCUUUCCCCUAUUACUACUAGUGCCACCGACGUUACGCUUUUUGUACGGUGGGUUGGUACUUCAAGAUCAAAGAAUGGGUACGUAGUAGCAGAGUAAAAUACAGUUUAUUCCGUAGGUUGUUCCGUUGUCUCUUUCGUGGUGGUAAAGUGUUAUGGAGGUUCUAGUAUACGUAACUCAUGUACAAGUAGUCGUCUAUGACUAUUAAGGGUCACAAGUCGAUAUAUAUCUUGUACCAAUAAGGUCAAAAAAUUGACACAUCUUAACUACCGUCGUAUAGAAAUAAAAACAGGACGAUAAAUACUUGGAUAUAAUAACGUGAAACUUAUCUGGGUAUGUUUACUACCGGAUAGGUCUCUCGGAUUUAUUUUACGUUAUCCUUCUGUUUCUUUGUAUUAUAUUUAUCGUACGUUUUAAUAUAUUUUGUUGUUGGAACAGAAAGUUGUUAUAAUAAAUGAUAAUAAAUUUCAUCCGUGUAAUAUAAUGUCUUUAAUUCUUUUUAGACUACCAAAUGGAUUUUUAGAUUAAUAAAUUUUAGUUGAUAAUACUUGAAAAGUCGUAUUAUCAACAUUUUUUACUUAUUCUUUAUUUCAUUAUUCUGCUUAGAUCAUCUUUGGUUCUCUUUUCGUUCUGCAUUCUCAUCUACUUAAAAGCCGGUAUUAAUUAUGUGAGUUUGACUUCGAAAUGUUAACUUUAUUUUAUUAUUAUCCUUAGUUGUGUAUUUAUAUUUACCUCGUUAGUGAGUUGUACUUACUUAGCAGGAUACAUAACUUAACCAUCGACGUAUCCUGAUUAGGGUAUACGGAGGUUUAGUGUUAUGUAGACUUAAGUUUUUACGAAGUGACGAACAAUUAUCCUAUGUAGAGCAAGGGUAAGUUCCGGGUCGUAAUAGUUUCAAUCCGGUGUUCAAUGUAGUUUGAUCUAUUUUUUUUUGGGUGGAAACAUUCUAGUUCCUCGCGUUUAUGCUAAUUGAUAAGUCUACUCGUGUCACUUCCCAUCUCAAAGGAGUUGGUGUCUUAAAAACUCCCCAAACGUAGAGUGGGACCACGUAUGAUAAAUAUCCCUUCUUCAGUCCUGAAUGAUACAAUCCAUCCUCUUUUAUUCACAUCAAUUACCUCUGCUGAGCUGUUGAGCUUGAUUGUCGUUCUAGCCUCUUCUAUAGAAAGACAACACGUCGGUUCUCUCUAACGGAAUUAAUUACCGGCUAGAUGCGUCCCUUGGCUCGAAAACUUUUGUUAUCUACGCAUCCUCUGUAACGAAGUCCUCAUUUUCGUUUGGUGAGGUUAUUUAUCCCAAAACCCCGUCACUUCUUCUGCUAUUUAUCCCAGAAACCCCGCCACUUCUUCUACUGCGAUAGAAACCAUCCGCGCUCCGUCAUUUUUCCUUUUUUUUUCUUUACAAGCGGAUCCCUUCUCUUCUUCUCAUCCCUCUCCCCAUAUCUAUCCACGCUCCUUUUUCAUUUCUUCUUAGUGUUCUCCUUCUUCUGCUGCGUCGAAGAGCUCUUUUUCUACUUCUGCUUCUACCCCGUCCACGUUCUCAUUUCCCCGCUAUGCUUGCUCCGUUUCGUCGUUUUAUUUUAUCUUAAAGGGUAGGGACGGGGACCCUGUUUUAGAUUAAGGUCCCCACCCCCCCUUAAUUAGAAUUGCCCAAUAAGGUCAAAAAAGACCUUAUUGGGCGAAACUGGCCAUAUUCGAUAAGGACAGAAAAAAAAAACAAACCAUCUUAUAUAUCCUAUUUUAUGAAAUAGGAGACCAAUAAGAUAAUGGUUUGUAUCGGAAUACCAUAUUUUCACAAGAUUUGGGUUUUUGACUAUCGUCACAAGAUAAUUCGAAAUGCUUACAAGAUAAUUCAGUAUUCUCCCAUUCUAACGUUACGUAUAUACAAGCGUUGACGUUUGGACUAUUUUCACAAGAUAAUUCGAGAUUCUCAUAAGAUAAGAUGAUACUGUUUUCUCACAAGUGUUGGUGUUUUGAUAAUUCUCACAAGAUAAUUAGAAAUGUUGACAAGAUAAUACCGUGUUUUCACAAGAUAAGAUGAUACUGUUUUCUCACAAGUGUUGGUAUUUCGAUAAUUCUCACAAGAUAAUUAGAAAUGUUGACAAAAUAAUACCGUAUUUUCAUAAGAUAAGAUAUUACUGUUUUCUCACAGGUGUUCAUAUUUUGAUAAUUCUCACAAGAUAAUUGGAAAUGUUGACAAGAUAAUACCGUUAUUUCACAAGAUAAGAUGAUACUGUUUUCUCACAAGUGUUGGUAUUUCGAUAAUUGUCACAAGAUAAUUAGAAAUGUUAAUAAGAUAAUAGCGUAUUUUCACAAGAUUUGGGUUUUUGACUAUCGUCACAAGAUAAUUCGAAAUGCUUACAAGAUAAUUCAGUAUUCUCCCAUUCUAACGUUACGUAUAUACAAGCGUUGACGUUUGGACUAUUUUCACAAUAUAAUUCGAGAUUCUCACAAGAUAAGAUGAUACUGUUUUUCUAAUAAGUGUUGGUAUUUCGAUAAUUCUCACAAGAUAAUUGGAAAUGUUGACAAGAUAAUACUGUAUUUACACAAGAUAAGAUAAUACUAUUUUCUCACAAGUGUUGGUAUUUCGAUAAUUCUCACAAGAUAAUUGGAAAUGUUAAUAAGAUAAUACCGUAUUUUCGCAAGAUUUCGAAUUUUGACUAUCGUCACAAGAUAAUUCGAAAUUUUUAUAAGAUAAUUCAGUAUUCUCCCAUUCUAACGUUACGUAUAUACAAGCGUUGAUAUGUAGACUAUUUUCACAAGAUAAUUCGGGAUCUUUACAAGAUGAUACUGUUUACUCACAAGUGUUGGUAUUUCGAUUAUUCUCACAAGAUAAUUCGACAUUCAUACAAGAAAAUACCGUAUUCUCACAGUCUAACAGUUCGUAUGUACAAACGUUUGUGUUUAAAAUAUUCUCACAAGAUGAUUCUCACAAGAAUAUUCGAGAUUCUCAUUUGGGAAAUACCGUAUUCUCACUGUUUAACAUUGCGUAUGUACGAGUGUCGGUUGAUAUGUGCUUAUGUUUGUUUAAUUAAUAAUUAUGUUUAUAUGUUCAUACGUAUUCUCUUAUAUGAUCAUUGGGGUUUGUAUAAAAGAUAUGGAAAGACGUAUGAUCAUUGCGAUUUAUACAAAAGGUAGUAUUUGAUUCGUUUUAAAAUACUUUACGUACUUUAUAUACACACAAUGACACCUGCGUAGAAGAUUUGGGAUUUGGGAUUAAGAUUAGUAUUUAUGAAAUAAAAAUGUUUACGUUAUUUUUUAUAUUAUAUGGUCGUCACAGGAUUUUUAUUUUAAUUAGUCGAUCAGCCACUGCUUUAGGCCUCGUGCAUUUCUGUUUGGGUUGGACGUUGGGAUUUGGGAGUUUUAUAUCUUAAAUAUAAUUUAAAUUUUAAAAUUUAUUUUCUAAUAUCUUUAAGUUUUUAUUACGGGACAAACUCAACUUAGGAGACAAGCCAACAACGGCUUAAUCGAGGCUUUAGCAAAAGUUAAAACCUGCGUGUACUCACGUCCUUACUCACUGUCCAUGACCCUACUUAUCCCCUCGUUAACUCUCCGUUAGAGGAUGGUUACCUCUCUCCGCUCCCGCUCUCUGUGGAAGCUCUGCCGAAACCUGUGCUCUACACACCUUGCUCACGACGGAUUGAAAACGGGCUACCUCAACUCACGGGACGGUCACUCUCGCUCUCUUUCUCUCUCCCUUCUCGCGCUCUAGUUCUCUCUCCGCUCCCUCACUCUCUCUCUCGCUCUUUGCCUCUCUCGCUCUUAUUCCACACGCCCUCUCUCUCUCUCUCUACACAUGAUCUUCCCAUAUCGAAAUCCUUCUUUAUUUUUCCCCUCACUUCAAUCGACGAUGAUGACACGAUCACGGGAUUAUAGUCGGCAACCUAGUAUGCCCACAUCCUACAUGUGGAAAGAUUUCAUCAGACCGAUCUCAAAAGGAUAAAAUAUCAAUAUAUUAAAUAAAUUAAAUAUAAAAAUAUAUAUUUAUUUAUUAAUAUAUAUUAUAUAUAAAAAUAAUAAAUUAAAAAUCGUUUUAUUUUUAUAUUUACGCUCGAAUUAAUAAUUUUUUAUGUACAUUUCAAAGUUAAUAAUCUAGUUUCAGAUUACCUAUUCUAAAAUAUUUAAAUAAAAAAUAUAUAUAAAUUAGAUUAAAAAAAAUUAAAUAACAAGCAACCGGUCGAGCACUCGGUCGACCAUAAGCCGAGCAAUUAUUUGCUCAACUUGUGCUCGAUUUAAAAAGCCGAGCUAUGAAAUUGUUCGAUUAAGCACAAGAUGAGCAAAUUAUUUGCUCGGCUUGUUUUCGGUUGGGUCGGGCGAGCACAAGCAGAGCAAAUGUGGGGAUGGACGUUCCGACGUUGCGACGACCAGCAACCGAGCCCUGUAAUCUUGUUCGUCGUCAAAGGGGCUUCUGGUGAACGUUUCAGAUUUCGGGUGCAUUUUGGGGGGUGUUCAUUUGGGGAGCUAGGUCAGGAGGGAGCUAGAGAAGGUUACGGCGGGUGAGAGGGAGAAGUGGCGGCGGCGGAGGAGGAGGGCAGGGUGGUGAUGCCACUGGUUUAGGCGUGGAAGCAGCUGCGGGCGCACUUCACCCACGCCCUGGCGCGGGAGCUGGUGCGGCACCUCUUCCUUUUCGUGGAGGUUGGGAAGGUGCGGGAGUUUCUGGAGGAGGAGGAGAGGCGGCGUAGGAGGAGAGGAAGAGGAAGAGGCAGAGGCAGGGAGGGGGAGAGGAGGCAGCGGCGCGCGGCGAGGCUAGAGGCGGAGGGGAAGGCGCGGUAGGCGAAGUAGGCGGAGAAGGGGAGGCGGAAGGAGCUUCUGGAGGGGAGCAGCAGCAGCAGGAGGAGAGCAGGGGUGGGGCAGUAGGCGGUUUUAUAAAACAUUAUGUAAAAUUUGAUACAAAAUGUCACGCCCCGGGACCGGCGGAGGCCCUCCCGGUAGCGUGCCCAGACCCGCCAUAUGUCUACACAUAUAAGGCGUCUACAAUAAAAGCGGAAGUAAAAGCAAGUAAUAGAACAAAUAGAAGAAGUGAAAUAAUGAGCAGCUAAUGAUAUCAGAGCGAGUAAAGUUCUAACAUCUACACCAAGGUAAAAAAGAAUAAAGCUAGACAAUAAAAGAAAUCAUAAGUAGUACAAUAUCUGUCCCAAAAGUACAAAAACGGUGGUCUCUAAUACACUGGUAGAACUCUCAACCUCUCGCAAAAGGAACAAAAAAUCGAGAGGUAGACCACCUAGCAACUCGUCCUCGAAGGAAGCUAGCUCGAAGCAACUCCCUUCCCGCGAUUCCUGGCCUCACCCUGAGUGGAAGGCUCUGAAAAACAUCGAGAAAAAGAGGGCAUGAGAACUAUAAUUUAUAAUUCCCAGUGGGCAAUUACUGACCUCAGCUCAAUGCACCACUAGGCCCCAAAAGAAGAGGGUAAGUACAAUAAUAAUAGCAAUAAAUAGCGAACACGAAACUGCUGAAGGAAGCAUGAAUGAAAUGCUAUGCUACUAUGUCUCCAAUAAGCAUGAUGUUAUGGUAAUGUACAUCUACGCUAUCAUAAGGUAAUAUAUAUCCGAUGCAUACUAAUAUGUCUCAACAUAAAAAGCAAGUAAACCUCACGAUGCCAUAUGUCAAUGCAUAAGGGUAAACUUUAUCCAAACAACCGAGUAUGCUACGAUGCGAUAAUGAAACCGGCAAGUAUACUAAAUGUACCAAUGCUAUAUCAUAAGCGUGUCCAAGUAAUCCAACUACUAAUCCUAUCUAGUAGUGAUUGUUCAUAUUCAACACCGUGUCGAUUUCCAUUUCCAAUUAAGGACCUACCAAAGGUAGUCCAGCUUGUGCCGCCUAAGUGCCUGUGGUAGCCCGACAUUCCUACUCUUGGAAUGUGUCUGUCCCACUCGGCCCCGUAGGCUUCUCAAUACCGCACGAGCGAACGUAGUCGCGUAGGCUAACUCCGGAGUGCCGGCUUGUAGGGAGCGACCCUCACAAGCAUGUGCGAAUGAGCACAAAUGGCAAGCAAGCAUGGUCCAAGUCUCAAGUAUCCAAUUCUCAUGUCUCUAACAUGGUAUAGUCACUAGCAUCCCGAAGACCUAGUUUAAGUCACAAUGUGAAAUUUCAACAUUUGCUACGCCUAGUGCCCCUUGAUGACACUUAGGCAAUUUGAUGUUCGACAUGUUUUCCAAAUCCCUCAAUGGCCCUAUCCACUAAAUUCACACAAGUCCUGAGCUCAAUGCCGCUUGAUGACAUUAGCUCUCCAAUUCACAUGAUAUCAAGUUCGAUGCCUACAUAUGAAGCAAUUGUCAUCUUUCAUGUCUCAAUUAAACUUAUGUUUAAACGCAUGAAUCAUAGCUCAUUUACUCUCUAGAACCAUGAAAUCAAACCCCAUAUAGAAUGCUAAAUGCAACCCAAGAUCUCCCAAACAACUCUCUACUACAUAGAGGUCCAAAGAUACAUCAUAUAUAACAUAUGCAUUUUAAGCAUUCUAAAAAUCAUAAUAAAUACAUUUAAUAUGAAAAUGCAUGAAUUAAUUAGUAACAAAGCACUUAUCACCAAAUAUGAGAUUUUCUCAUAUCAAAGGCUAGGUCAAACCCACCGACGACAACGAAGCUUUUCGUUUGCUCCAACGGAGGUUUCCACAAGCUUUCUAGCACCCUAAGAACAUCAAAAAGGGUGUCAUCCAAUCGAUACGAAGAGUAAUAAGCUCGAUCUUUAACCUAGGAGCAAAAAGGGUCAAACUCACCUCAAGAGUAGAAAUCUUCUCUUAAGCUCCAAAAGAGAGCUAGGGUUCAACCAAUCCAAGCCCAAGGAAGGUUCUAAACCCACCAAUCUAGUCUCUAAAGCCCUAGAAUCAAAAUCCCCAAAAAUAAACCCUAAGUAUCAAAUCUAGGGUUCCAACUCAAAAUUUAGCAAAAACAUGGAUCAAAGGCUCAAAUCAUGUUGCUAACCUCUCUAGAAGCUUGAGUAUUCUAUAGUGUCACCUAAAUAGCUUGGNUAAUAGAGAUGCCACAAUUGCGAAAAACCCCCUGCAGUUCAAACUGCUCAGAUUCUGCCAAAGUGUACCGGUACACGGGAAAGUGUACCGGUACACAUCCUACGAAAACGCAAACCCGAGGCUCGGGUUCGUAAUUUGCCACAAGUGUACCGGUACAACCAUCAAGCGUGUACCGGUACAAAGUGUGUACCGGUACGGCCAUCAAGAGUGCACCGGUACAUCUUGUGCAGAAUGCAAUCCGAGGGUAGGCUAAGUCCAACUUUUUUUGUGACCUUAGCGCUACAUAAAAUACUACAAUUCUCGGGACACGAGCCAUAGGUUGGAACACUGUCAACGACCCACCAGGAAGUCUGGAAAGACUCGGGACACUGUCCAAACACUCGAACCCCGCAAUUUGCAAAAGUCCAGUGCGUCACACAAAAAAUGUCUAAUAGUUCAACAUACAAAGUAAAUGCAUGAAAUACGAUAUUAUAAUAUUAAAAAAAUUAAAAAAAGCGACUCUACGAGGAAGUGAAAAAGAUGUAGAGAAAUUAUAGUAGUAUUUUGCUGGUUUUGUUUUGUGGGCCCAAUAAUCUAAAUUUUAUAUACAUAUAAUUAAAAUACAUAAUAUAUAUUAUUUUAUAUAAUUAAAAUAUAUAUUAUAUAUAAUUAUACUUUUAUGAGUAUAGACUCCUUUAUACUCAUAAGUUUUCGACCAUUAGAUCUAUUCUUUUGACUAUUUUCAUCCGUUUAAUCAUACUAUUCAAUGAACCACCCACUCAAUCCUAGGGGACCACUAUCAUCCUAAUCGCACAUCCAACGGCUAAAAAUUUAAAAUAUAAAGGGGUCUAUACUUAUAAGAGUAUAGUAGCCCGAGCCUAUAUAUAUAUAGAAUAGGCUACUAUAGUAUUAAUAGUACAAACCGCCUGCUAUUAGGUUUUCGGCCCUUUGAUGAAGGGAUGUGCGGUCAGGAUGAUAGUAGCCCCCUAGGAUUGAGUACGUAGGUGGCUAGUUGAAUAGUAUGAUCUAACGAAUGAAAAUGGCUAAAGAGAUAGAUCUAACGGCAGAAAACUCGAUAGCACCAAAUGCUUGAUACUAUCGAUAAUGUAGUAGCCGGACUCUAUAUAUAUGUAGUCAGAUCUAACGAUAGAAAACUCAAUAGUACAAAGUGCUUAGUACUAUUGAUAGUAUGGAUAGUAUAGUAGCCGGACUAUAUAUAUAGAGAGAGAGAGUCUGGCUACUAUAUUAUCGAUAGUACCAAAUGCUUGGUGCUAUCGAAUUUUAUGCCAUUAGAUCUAUCUUUUUGGCCAUUUCCAUCCAUUAGAUCAUAUUAUUCAACUAAUCACCCACUCAACCCUAGGGGAUCACUGUCAUUCUAACCGUACAUCCCUUCAUCCAAGGGCCGAAAACCUAAAAGCAAGUGGUUAGUACUAUUAAUAGUAUAGUAGACUAAUUUUAUAUAUAUAUAUAUAUAUAGAACUAGGCUACUAUACUAUCGGUAGCACGGAGGCCUCCGUGCUACCAAGUUGUUUUCAAUGAUGUGGCUUCCAAAUCGACGAUCGGCUCCGUUAGACUUGAUCUACACUAUUAAAAGUAUUUAGAAACUAAAUUUCAUAAUUUUUCGAUAUCAUUUACCUAUCAAACAAGUAGUCUAAAAUUGAACGGCUGAAAAUAAAAAUCUCAUAAAAAAUAAAGAUAAAAGAUUUAAAUUCAAGAUCAGAUAUACUGAUCUUACUCUAAAUAGUGAAAAGAAUUUUCUAUAAAAUUUUCAUCGUAUUUGGAUUGUUUUACACUGUUAAACUCACAAACACACCACAUCGGCCAUUAAAAUUGUCAAUUUUUAGAUCUUUUGAUCACUAGUCAAAUGAUGUCGAAAAAAUCUAAAAUUUAGUUCCAAAUACUUUCAAUAGUGUAGAUCAAGUCUAACGGAGUCGAUCGUCGAUUUGGAAGCCACAUCAUCGAAAAUAACUUGGUAGUACGGAGCCUUCCGUGCUACCGAUAGAUAUAUAUAUAUAUAUAUAUAUAUAUAUAUAUAUAUAUAUAAAACUAGGCUGGAAUACUAUCAAUAGCACCAAGCUAUUGAUGCUAUUAAUUUUUUAGCCCUUGGAAUGAGAAAUGUGUGGUUAGGAUGAUGUGGGCCCUCUAGGGUUGAGUGAGUGGUUGGUUGAAUAGUAUAAUCUAACGGAUAAAAAUAAUCAAAUGGUUAAAUCUAACGGUGGAAAACUAUAAUAUCCGAGAUUUUGAUAGUGUAGCUAAACCCUUUGUUGACGAUAUUUUUGUGUGUAAUGUAGUUACAUAACCACUCGUCAAGUUUCAGGGAAAAACGAGUUAGAUGGAGAAGUUACGCAACCGAUACUAAUCACUUAAAGUGAAUAGUAACUCCGGUUUUCUAGAGAAGCCAAUGAGUGGAGAAGGCUUUUGGUGUGUAUUGGACUCCGUUCAUAGUGAUCCAAUAGCUCGUUUUCGAUGGUUUGACUAUCCUGGACCCAAUGGCACUGACAGAUUUGGAUUCUGAUGCACGAUUUUCGAGAAAAAGAGUUUUAUUGGAUCUAUUUGUAUAGGUAUGGUUUUUGGAGAUUGGAGAGGGUUGGUUAUGUCGCAAUCGGUGAUCGAAUCGGACGAAACGAAAUCGUAGAUUCGAUGCCCCAGUCAUGCUGAGCGCGCUGGCGUGAUUCGUUUGGAAAUCCGACGGACGGAUCUGCGAGGAACGUGAAAAGUUCAUUGAGGGGUCGAAUUGGUAAAAAUGAAAAAUUCGUGAAAAGUCUAAUAUUUUAUGCGCCGUUUUGCGUGAAUUCGAACGUCGAGGGGCUCGUGUGCAAAAUACACGUACUGGCAGGGGACUUAGCUGUAAACGAUCAGCCUUGGGUGGACUUUUCUGCAAUUAUGCACAUAGUAUAUAAAGUGCAUCUAGGGUUUCCUUGCAUGAAACCCUAGAUUGAUUCCACCCUGAUCCCCCAGCUAACCCUAGCCAUCGCAGCACCCACCCACCUUGCUCGUGUGCACGCCCCUACCGUCGGCGGGCACCCCCGGUCACUGGAAAAGCCACGCCGACCUCCCUCUUCGCUCCUCCCUCUACCGUGCCUCCACCACUUCGGCCGUGAAGCUCAGGAGAACACCCCCUUGAGUCAAGUCUGAGUUCUCUGGCCAAGUCUUCCCCUCCGGCGUCAUCCUCGCCGGCUCCCGCCCUCCGCGUGCGCCGCUGGCGCCGCUAGGACUCGCUGCGGCCGCCCAGACCCAGAGCAGGCCGAGCCGAGAUCACCCUGGCCUCGGUGCGUUGCCUCUACCUAUGAUCGGUGGGGCCGGCCUCCGACAAUCUCCGGCAACACUCUGCUCGCCGUCCCGUCGUCCCGAAGCGCCGCCGGCCGCCCUCAGUGCUCCCUGCGGCCGCCCAGACUCAGUGCGGGCCGAGGCUGAGUCACCUCGGCCACCGCGUGUCGCUGCCGCCCAACGUCGACCACACCGCACUCCCUCGGUCGCCUUCGCCCUGAAGCUCCUCCGGCCGCCACUGCCUUCCCGAACCCGAAUUGAGCUGUUCGAGCUCGUGCUUUGCCCCCGCGCCAUUGGCCGCCUCCCGCAACCGGCCAGCACGCGCCCAACUCCUCUCCGACUGGCCGCGACCUCCCCCUGCCGGAGCGCCCGCCGUCCGGCCACCGCCGGUCACCCUCGGGCUCCUGCUUGCUCCAGUAAGUCUUUAACAGUAUUCUGCACUUUAUUUCGGGUUCCGGUCGCCUUUCCGCCGAUCCGAAGGCACCCCGAUAAUUCUGGAACUGAGCACGACGAUCUCUGAUCCGUGCUGAACAUCGUGCUCACCUCCGUUGGGGUCAGCGAUAACCCGGUUUGCAAGUUAGAUGCGAUUUAGGCGUUGUGCGCGCUGUUUCGCUGAAGUUCGCGUCGCUCGUACGCUUGCCUCAAUGGCCGGCAGUGCUCCGAAGCAUGAGCAUGGCCUCCGGUACGCCGAGACCUAUUAGCGGAUGUCUUGGCCUGGCUGAAUGACCCUCAGUUUGCACUGUCGGGUCAUAAAAGCCCGAAAAUCACAUAAAGUAAUGUGAUAUUAUGGGAUCGGGAGGGUUUUUACGCAAUUGUGCUUUUUGUGGUCGCUGUUGGCAGUGUGUGCGGGCAGUGGGUGACCUUUGGACUGAUUGUCCAAGACUCUAGGCCUUUUUAGAGAUCGAAAAUUGAUUUCCGGUGCGUUCUUUGGUGAAAUCCGCCGACGGAAUACGUUUUCGGUUCGGAAUUCUUCCGACGGUGCCUCGUGAUAAUUUGUGUCGUCGCUGAGCCUUGUUGGCUGGUUACCCGCUUCGUUUCGAGGGUUCGAAAACGACGGGUGAGUGACGGUGGGUUCCGGUGUCGAAUUGGACAUUUCCGGGAACCCGGAUCGGAGCGAUUAUCCAAUGAUAAUCGUUUCGGGGUGAGUUAGUGUAUUUGCUGCCAAGUCACAUGAACAUAUGUGUUUAGUGGCAGCGGGUGACUCAUAACAUGAGUCGGUGAAUUCUGGGACAGUUCGUGGGUCCCGGCGGAGUCUCGGUGCGGUUUCGGGACUUCCGGCGUGUUCGGCAAUCGGUUUUGGGAAACCGAUUCCGUAGGUUCGUUGGUGGGAUUGGUUUCGAGCUAGCUCUUCAGCAAGGGACAAGUUGCUAGGUGGUCUACCUCUCGAUGUAUUUUAUUUUGGGAGAGGUUGAGAGCUGUACCAGUGUACUAGAGACCACCCUUUGUGUACUUUUGGGACAGAUAUUGUACUAUCUUAUGGUUUACUUUUAUUGUUUAGUUGUAUCCUUUUACUUUUGUUAUAGAAAGUAGAAUCUUACUGCUCUGAUAUCAUUAGUUUUUGCUCUUUCCUUUCGGCUAUGUUUCUUGCUUUAUUUUCGCUGUUGAUGUAGACGCCUUAUAUGUGUUGGCAUAUGGCGGGUUUGGGCACACUACCGGGAGGGCCUCUGCCGGUCCCGGGGCGUGACAGAUUAGUUUGGUAUUAGAGACUAGGGUUGAGUCUUAGUGGACCUAGCAAACCUUAGGCCGGUUGGACUAUAGGAAUUAGGCUCGUGAGAGACGAGGUCUAAUUGACUUGUGCGCGAAAGUAUUAUGAUUGGGUUUUAUGACAACUCUAAAAAGUUAGAGUUUGAUCGAAGUGUAUGGCUUCUAACUUCGCGGAGGGUUACGUUGGCGGCUGAUAACGUAACAUCGGGAGUUAGUAGUGGAGGACACUUCCUUACUUUCGCACGAUUUGGGUUUUAUCUAUUUGAGCGGGGAUGCGGUAGCGUGGGUUACUAACUUGCGCUUUUAUGUUUUGUAGUGACGAUGCCGAUUACACGCUCCCAGUCUGCCGGAGCGGAUGAUGCAGCACACCCCGAGGAGGCCGAGACCUCCGCUACUUCCGGAUCUAGUGAGGUCCGUGACUUAAGGUCCCAGCUUGCAGUCCUCACCGAUCUGUUGGCACAGCAGGCGGCAGCGACGCAGCGACAGGCUGAGGUGGCUCAGCGGCAGGAGGCGCGGAUGAAGCAUCUUGAGGACCUCCUACUUCAGCAGGCGGCAGCUUCGAGGGAGACCCAGGUUCCCACACCGCCAGCACCCGUGGUGGACGUCGCACCGAGGGCGCAGUCCCCCGCGCCCAGUUCUUCACGUGCGGCACCGGCGACCACACCUCUUGAGGAGGUGGCUGCGGCACCCCCAGUUCAGAGACCGGCCACGGGGGCAGCUUUUCCCGUGAGGGCUGAGGAAGCCGAGCGGGAUCAGCUCAUGGAUCGCCUCAGUGAGUUCAGGAGGUGCAGCCCGAGAACGUUUGAUGGCGAGAACGUCGACCACUGGAUUGUUGAGAAGUGGUUGAUACACAUGGAGAAGCUUUUUCGAGACACCUUUGUGGAGGAGCGGGACAGAGUUUUGCUUGCCACUCACUUUCUCGACGGCGAGGCCUACCGUUGGUGGUUGGAUAUCCAGGAUAACCCCAACACCGACUUAGCAGCGAUUACUUGGACGAGGUUCAAGGAGCUCCUUCUGGCGCACUACUUCCCGACCAGCGUCAAGAGGAAGAUGGAGCAGGACUUGCGCAGCUUGCUCCAGGACGAACGGUCGGUGGCCGAGUACGAGAGGGAGUUCUCUUGGCUACUUCAUUGUGUACCAUUUGUUGAGAGGGAUGACGAGGACAAGGCCCGCAUUUUUUAGCGCGGAUUGCGGCCUUCUAUUUUCCGGUUGGUGCAGUCUUCCAACCUCCAGACCUAUCGGGAGGUUGUGAAUCGAGCAUUGAUUGUAGAGGCUGGAGCGGUAGAUCUUCAGGAGCGUCGCGAGAGCUCGGAGAAGGGGAAGGGAAAGAGGCCCGCGGCUGAGGAUGCGAGUCAGACGCACUCACGGAGGCCGCCGAGGCACCCCAAGAGCCGGAGCCGGAGCCGGGGACGUGGCUCGUCUACUCAGCGAGGAGGACCCGAUCGUCGCCAGGCUUCCCGCUGCGUGAUCUGUGGUGGUCCUCAUUACUCGCUGCAGUGUUCACGCAGUCGGGGCAGGUGCUUCUUGUGUGGCCAAGAGGGCCACUUUCAGUCGGACUGCCCGAGGAGUCCAUCGCCAGCGCCAUCUUCGGCAUCUGCACCAGCAUCGCCAGGUCCCAGUUAGGGGAUAUCUUCUGCACAUCACCAGGCCGGGCGGCCGCCAGUUCUACGGCAGGCGGAGGGGUCACGACAGGCCCCGAGCGGGCGCAUGUAUGCAGCCCAGACUGAGGAGGCGGCGGCAGCCGAGAAUGUGGUCGCAGAUAUCAUUUUACUUUAUGGUAUUCGAGUUAGAGCAUUGUUUGAUACUGGUGCAUCGCAUUCAUUCAUAGACCGGCUGUUUGCCGAGUUGCAUGGCAUCCCACUUGUAUCUUUGUUGCACCCGGGCCGAGUUAUUGUACCUGACCAUUCCUUGGACAUUCGGGAGUUUUGCCCCAGUUGCCCUGUUCGGGUUGGAGAUUGGACCAUGCUCGCGGACUUGGAGUUUGAUGUUGUGUUGGGCAUGGAUUGGUUGACCAAGUACUUUGCCACCAUAGAUUGCAAAAAUCGAACGGUGACAUUUAGAGAGCCGGGGCAGGCGGAGGUUGUGUACCGAGGAUGCCAGAGUUCGCUGUUUGCGAUGACGAUUAGCUCUUCUCGAGCUCGACAGUUGAUUAGUAGAGGCUGCGUAGCCUACUUGGCUACUGUUGUGCUACGGGGUGAGGAUGACACCCCCAGGAUUGAGGACAUCCCCGUAGUACGGGAGUUUGGAGAUGUGUUCCCAGCUGAGCUUCUGGGCAUGCCACUGGAUAGGGAGAUUGAGUUUGUAAUGGAUCUCGUUCCCGGGACUACUCCAAUCUCAAAGGCACCCUAUAGGAUGGCACCAGCAGAAUUGAAGGAGCUGAAGGCACAGUUACAGGAUCUUCUAGACAAGGGUUUUGUGCGACCGAGUGUGUCACCUUGGGGAGCACCGGUUUUGUUUGUGAAGAAAAAGGACGGAUCACUUCGCUUAUGCGUGGACUAUCGUGAACUUAACAAAGUCACGAUUAAGAAUAAGUAUCCGUUGCCGAGAAUCGACGAUCUAUUUGAUCAGUUAAAGGGAUCCAGUGUGUAUUCCAAGAUUGACUUGCAGUCGGGAUAUCACCAGUUGAAGAUCAAGCCUGAGGAUGUGUCGAAGACGGCUUUUAGAACACGGUAUGGACAUUAUGAGUUUACUGUGAUGCCGUUCGGGCUUACUAAUGCCCCGGCAGCUUUUAUGGAUCUUAUGAACCAUGUGUUUAAGCCUUAUUUAGACAGGUUUGUCAUGGUGUUCAUCGACGACAUUUUGGUCUAUUCCCGAAGUGAUGCGGACCACGAGGAACACUUGAGACUUAUACUUCAAGUGCUUCGGGAAAAGAAGCUCUAUGCCAAGUUGAAAAAGUGUGAGUUUUGGCUUAGAGAGGUGGCGUUUCUAGGCCAUUUGAUUUCAGGAUCAGGGAUAGCUGUGGAUCCAAGAAAAAUUGAAGCUAUCAAGGAUUGGCCGAGGCCGACGUGUGUGACCGAGAUACGGAGCUUCAUUGGUUUGGCCGGCUACUACCGACGGUUUGUUGAGGGAGUUGCAAAGUUGUCUACUCCCCUCACGAGGCUCACGCAUAAAGGCACCAAGUUUAUUUGGAAUGAUGCGUAUGAAAGGAGCUUCCAAGAGUUGAAGCAAAGAUUGACGACCGCCCCGAUCCUAACCUUGCCGACUGCUGGAGCAGGGUAUGUGAUUUAUAGUGAUGCUUUAUUUAAUGGAUUAGGUUGUAUCUUGAUGCAGGACGGAAAAGUGAUUGCUUAUGCAUUCCGCCAAUUGAAGGAUUAUGAAAGGAAUUACCCCACUCACGACUUGGAGUUGGCGGUCGUGGUCUUUGCAUUGAAGCUAUGGUGCCACUACUUAUACGGCGAGCGAUGUGAAGUGUAUACGGAUCACAAAAGCUUAAAGUAUUUAUUCACUCAGAAGGAGUUGAACUUGAGGCAGCGCAGAUUGUUGGAGCUACUCAAGGAUUAUGAUCUCACGAUUCUCUACCACCUAGGCAAGGCUAACGUGGUGGCUGAUGCGCUAAGUAGGAAAUCGACGAAAAAUUUAGCUAUAUUUGUGGUGACUCAACUGCCGUUGAUCGAGCAGAUGAAGCGAUUGGAGUUGGAGGUGGUGGCUCCUGACACACCUUUGAGGCUGAUGAUUUUGGUGGUGCAACCUACACUUAUGGAAAGGAUUAAAGAAAAGCAAGCUUCCGAUGUGGAGUUGCAAAGGAUUCAAGCUAAGAUGGUUGAUGGUUGCACCGGUGACUUCACUUUGGACGGUGAUGGAUUGAUGCGAUUCCGCAGAUGGUUGUGUGUACCGGCGGACUUGAGCAUUAAAGAGGACAUUCUUCAUGAAGCACACCAAGCACCGUAUGCUAUACAUCCGGGAGGCACCAAGAUGUACAAGGACUUGAAGUUGCUUUACUGGUGGCCCGGGAUGAAAAAGAAAGUUGGUGAGUUUGUUGCUAGAUGCUUAACUUGCCAACAGGUGAAAGCUAAGCACCGAGUUCCUGCGGAAAAGUUGCAGAGCCUACCGAUUCGAGUGUGGAAGUGGGAGAAGAUCACCAUGGAUUUUGUGAUGGGAUUGCCUCGCUCACAGGCCGGGCAUAAUGCUAUUUGGGUGAUCGUGGAUAGGCUGACGAAAUCGGCCCAUUUCAUACUUAUCCACACUACUUGGACUGGUGAGAGACUCGCACAGGUUUAUCUGGAUGAGAUUGUGCGAUUGCAUGGGGUACCUACUUCUAUAGUAUCAGAUCGAGAUCCCCGUUUUGUAUCCCACUUUUGGAGGAGCUUACAGGAUGCUUUGGGUACGCGCUUGAAUUUCAGCACUGCUUUCCACCCCCAGAGUGACGGGCAUUCGGAGCGUACUAUACAGACUCUUGAGGACAUGCUUCGAGCCUGCGUGAUUGACUUCCAGGGAGGAUGGUCGCAGCAUCUACCGAUAGCAGAGUUUGCUUAUAACAAUAGUUAUCAAGCAAGCAUCAAAAUGGCACCGUUCGAGGCACUUUAUGGACGGAAGUGUAGAUCGUCACUUCAUUGGAGUGAAGUUGGCGAGAGAUUGGCCUUAUGCCCAGAUGUGCACCAGGAGGUCGAGAACAAGGUUCGCAUUGCUCGAGAGCGACUGUUGACAGCCCAGAGUAGGCAAAAGAGCUAUGCUGAUCGGCGUCGACGAGACUUGGAGUUUCAAGUUGGAGAUCACGUCUUCUUGAAAGUCUCGCCGACUCGAGGGAUUAGAAGAUUUGGAAUCCGGGGUAAGUUGAGCCCCCGAUACAUUGGACCGUAUGAGGUUCUGGAGCGUGUAGGCCCGGUAGCGUAUAGACUUGCUCUACCGCCAAACCUAUCGGGUGUACACAAUGUAUUCCAUAUAUCGGUCCUUCGGAAGUACAUCCACGACCCGGCUCAUGUUUUGGAUGCUACACCACAGUAGGCAAAAGAGCAACCCUUGAGAAUUUUGGCUCGCGAGGUAAAGAGAUUGCGGAACUGGGAAAUUCCCUACGUGAAGGUGCUUUGGAGCAACCACGACGAGCGCGAGGCUACUUGGGAAAUUCCCUACGUGUGAUGCUUAAGUGUCAUAAAGAGGCACUAAGCAAGUGAGUGUUGAUAUAUCACAUUGUGACAUAGAGCUAGACCGUUGGGUUACUAGUAGCUAUUGCCAUGUUUGAGACAUGAGGGUUGGAUACUUGAGCCUUUGACUACGCUUGCUUGCCAUUUGUGCUCAUUCGCACAUGCUUGUGAGGGUCACUCCCUACAAGUCGACACUCCGGAGUUAGCCUACGCGACUUAUGUUCGCUCGUGCGGUAUUGAGAAGCCUACGGGGUCGAGUGGGACAGACACAUUCCAAGAGUAGGAAUGUCGGGCUACCACAGGCACUUAGGCGGCACAAGCUGGACUACCUUGGGUAGGCCCUUAUUUGGAAAUAAAAAUCGACACAGUGUUGAGUGUGUUAUAAUCACUACUAGAUAGAGAUUAGUAGUUGGAUUACUUGGACUUACUUCUAGCAUAGUUUUGGACACUUGAGUACACAUACGUACAUGUAGUAUGCUAGGAGAUGUUGCUUAUUGCAUUCAUAUAUACAUUGUUGCCAUGAUAAAGCAUGAUCCUUAUAACUUCAUAAGUGAACUGUGACAUUUACUUGUAGCCAUGUAGAGACAUAUUGGUUAUGACAAAGUAAAGGUGCAUUAUUUUUUAACACCAUGCUUAAUUGCAAUAUAGUAGCUUAGCAUUUUAAUUAUGCUCUCAUAAAUACAGUUUAUUCGUUAUUAUUGCUGUUUGCCAUACUUACCCUUUUCUUUUGGGGCCUAGUGGUGCAUUGAGCUGAGGUCAGUAAUUGCCCACUGGGAACUAUAAUUUAUAGUUCUCACGCCCUCUAUUCUAUGUUUUCUUUCAGAGCCUUCCACGCCGGGAGAGUCUAGGGACCGUGGGAAGGGCAUUGCUUCGAGAUAGCUCUUUAGCGAGGGACGAGUUGCUAGGUGGUCUACCUCUCGAUAUAUUUUAUUUUGGGAGAGGUUGAGAGCUGUACCAGUGAACUAGAGACCACCCUUUGUGUACUUUUGGAACAGAUAUUGUACUACCUUAUGGUUUACUUUUAUUGUUUAGUUGUAUCAUUUUACUUUUGUUAUAGAAAGUAGAAUCUUACUGCUCUGAUAUCAUUAGUUUUUACUCUUUCCUUUCGGCUAUGUUUCUUGCUUUAUUUCCGCUGUUGAUGUAGACGUCUUAUAUGUGUUGGCAUAUGGCGGGUCUAGGCACACUUCCGGGAGGGCCUCUGCCGGUCCCGGGGCGUGACAGUCAUUUCCUUUUGUUGAUUUUAGAGCCAUCCCGAGGCGUGACAGUCAUUUCCUCUGACGAAUUAGAAGGAAAAGUCAUCUCAUACGUUUGAAGUGCACCUACUAAUUCUUCUACCUUAAGUUCAUCCGGAUGUUUUACCGUUUCAAUAGCCGCAACCUUUGGACGAAAUCGUUCGGGAAGAGUUCUCAAAAUUUUUCUCACAAUUUUAGAGUCCGAAAUUUUCUCGCCUAAGUUAGCACACGUGUUUACAAUGCCUUGCAAACGAGUAUAAUACUCGGUAAAAGAUUCAUGUUCUUCUAUACGAAUAGAGUCAAAUAUACUUGUAAGCAUUUGUAAUUUUUGAAUCUUUACCAAACUUGUACCCUCGUGUGUAACUUGUAAAGUGUUCCAAAUUUCUUUGCGGUUUCACACGCCGAGACACGAGAAAAUUCGGUUUUAUUUAAAGCAUUAAAUAAAGCAUUGAUACCCUUUCCGUUGAACGAAGAUAGUUCGUUUUCCUCUUUCGUCCACUUAUUUUUAGGUUUCGGACCGGUAACAUUCUCGACAACUUCGGUGGGAUGUUUCCAUCCGAAUUCAAUGGCUUGUCAUACCCGCUCGUCGAUGGCAAUAAGAAACGUCCUCAUACGGACUUUCCAAUAAGCGUAAUUUGUGCCAUCGAAGAGAGGGGGUCGAUUAAUGUUACCGCCCUCGGCCAUGAUUUACAACCUAUACCCGCUCUGAUACCACUUGUAAGAUAUGGAUCCCGAGGAUCUAAAAGGUAAAUAAUACCUAGAGAGGGGUGAAUAGGUGUAAAACGGCGAAAACAAAAAACUCUCGAUGCAAAUAAAAGAGAUAGCGGAAAAUAAAAACAGCACACCGAGAUUUUAACGUGGGAAAACUCCAAUCCGGAGUGAAAAACCCACGGGACCGAUCACGCGAAAAAAAUUCACUAAGAAAACUUGAGUACAAGUGAUUUAACCAAAAUACAUGACUCAAUUUACCGAAUUUUCGUUGUUGAUGGUCUUCGCUGGUCCUCGAUCGAUAGGAAUCCUCCAAUCGACCUCGCCGCAACUCCUUGCUGCAUCAACGCCUCAACUCCUCGAAGCGUCCACCGAAUCCUCGGCUUCACGCGAGAUCUACGCGCCGAACCUCCUUCCGGAGUUUGUAUAAUUGAUGAUUCGUGGUGAUUAAGACUUAAAAUCCCAUAAGCAAUGAGGGUUCACCUUCUAAUCAAACAUCUACUUGAUUCUCAAAGAAUAUUUCUAGUUAAAAUCGAAGAAUCAAGUCGAUCGUUGAUUAUAUGAAACUUGUUAUAUGAAUAAAAUCAUAAGAAUGUGAAAACAAGUUUCUAGGGUUUUAGAACAGUAGAAAUUCAAAACCUUAACCCAUAUGAUAACCCCCAUGGCUUAUUUAUAGGUUUAGAAGACUUAGAAGUAGACUAGGAUUGCAAAAAGUCUAUUUUAAAAACUGGUGUCGUCCUUAGGGACCGGUCCCCUCGAGGAGACCGGUCUUUGGGAGACCGGUCCCUCGCUGCGUGACAGAAAACACAACGUUCGGGAACCGGUCUCUCAUGCAAGAGACAGGUCCUUCGCUGCGUGACAGAAAAUCCCAUGUUCGGGAACCGGUCUCCCUUUCCAGAGACCGGUUGCCUCAAUAUCCCACGCAGUGAGGACCCUCGGGGACCGGUCUCUCAACUUUGGGACCGGUCCCAGAACACUGAAAAGUUCAGUUUAAGUGUUUUAAAGCAACCUAAGUCUUCUGAACUUAUUGUAAUUAGAUAAAUUCACGACAAAUGAUCUAUUCUUCAUACCUGAGAUGCCAAGCUUUCCAAAUGAGUCUUUGCUCUUCAAAUUGAAUCUUCUCUUCAAACUACCGCGAUCAACUCUUCAAGACUCCAUUUGACUUUACGAAAUCCGCCAACCUAGAAAAUCCUUAACAGUUCACCAAUGCAUUGUUUAGAAGAGUACAUAGAGCGGCGGCGUGAAGAGACGUCCUGAAUAGAGUAUCGAGGAGGCUCAGAGACGGGCUCUCUAAUCUCAAAACCACCUGACUUCCGUCGACCUCCUUUUGUCCGUUGCCUUACCUUUUCCUUUGUCAACACCUUUUUCUUUGCCCUUUCCUUUUCCUUUCUCGUUAUCCUUUUCUGCAGCUACGGGCGCUUUACCUUUUUUCUUUGAAAGCACUUCCGGUGUAAGUGCUUCCCAAUCAGGUUCCUUAGCUUUAGAUUCUUCGCCCUCUUCGCCCGGCACAUACUCACUACCCUCAUCGUCCGGUUGUUGCUCAACCGGUUGUUUAGCCAAUGAACGUUGACGUUUGCUUCUACAACCACUACCGGCCAUAAGAAAAAUAAUCACGAGUAGGCAGGAAUACAUGUUUAAAUGGCACCUGUUACACACAAUAAUGUACACAUAUUGAACAUAAGAACAAUUGAUUUUUGAUUUCAAAAACAUUAGCAAAUUGAUAUGCAAUAUGCUAGGUGAUCCGAGGGCCAUAUAAUCAUAAAAAUCAUGAACAAAUCAUGCAACAAAAAUCAGUAAAAUCACAUAUUUUCGAAACAAUUGAAAAACUAAGGUUUUGAUGGUGAAAACUAGCAAAAUCGGGCAAAUCCAUGAAAUAAAUCAUGCAAUAAUGUAUGAGAAUCCUAGAAAAACAUGUCUAGAGUUAAGAGUAUAACAAUAUGAAGAGAUUCAACAAGAUUUCUAGAUCAAACACCAAAAACACAUUUUUCGGAAUACAUUGUUAGAACGAAAUAAAAUCCGAAGAUCUUACCAAAAACAAGUGUAAAUUGAUGGAGAAAGGAAGCAAAAUCACCCUGGGGAAGUUGGAAGCUUGUGGGAGAAGUUUGAGAGUAUUUGAGAAAGUGUACAGGUUGAUCGAACCGAAACCCUUAAAUCGGGUUCGGGCGGAGGGACUGGUCUCUCCAGCCAGGGACCGGUCCCAGAGCCUGGAUUUUCAAAAGAAAUUCUAUUUUAAGUUUAAAUUUUUCAGAAAUUUUAUAUGUUAUUCCAAAAUGUCCAACAUAAAAAAUAAUCAAUUUCUAUUCCCCAAUGACCUCGAAUAAAAUUUCAUAAAUAAAUUUUGAAAAAUCAAUUUCCAGGAUAUUCAAUUUGUCAAAAAUUGUUGACUCGAAAAUCAAAUAAAAUUCUUGAUAAGUAUAAAAUAAAAUUCCACACAUCAUGUAAGACCUAAAUAUUAAUUGUAUUAUUUUAUCAUCAUAUUUGUUAAAAAAAAUGAAUAAAUAAAUCUCAUAAUCGUGAAAUUAAAAUAAUACCCUCAAAUUGAGUUAUGCACAUUAUUCGAGAUAGGAGUGGUUCUUUGAGCAUCUUUUGACAAACCACCUAAUAUCGCCUAGGAGAUGUAUUAAAAAUAUUAUUAGAAUUGUACCAUCUUCACAAAAUCUCAUAUUUAUUUAUUCUUUAUUUCCUUUCUAUCUCAAGGAUAUACUUUGAUCAUCAUGUGGUAGCUGCACACACUGACCGGACGACCGGGUGGGUAGCUCUUUCCUUCAUAUGGUGGUAGUUUUCACACUCCCAACAGGGAUGUAACUCUUUCCACAUCUUUUGAAUUUAAGAAAUUUCCAUAACCAUAAUCGGAAAGACUCCCCCUAAAUUAGUGCAACCCUCAAGUCAAAAAUAUUAUCGCAAUUUCAAAAACAGAGAAAUAGUUAUUCAUCUCAUAGCUAAUAAUCAAACAAAACAAUUGCAACGUUCAAAGUUCGAAGCAUGAGGUGUUGAAUUUAACUCAGUAUACUAAAACAGAAUUUCAAUAAUUUAAUCGUUCAAAAAUUAUGACAAAAGAGAAUAACAUUGACGGUGAUCAAUCAAAACAUAAUAUGAAACAAUUAAAGUCAUAUGAUAGAGCUCACAAAAACCAAUUUAUCUCCCAAAAACAUAACAUUAACAGUGACACCAUUCAUGAAACUCAAUCAUCUCUCAAGAAUAAUCAGGGAAAACCGAAAAACAUGCACAGAAGCAAAAUGCAGUAUGCACAUGAUUUAUGGCCCAUAGAAUGCAUCUAGAGAGAAGGAUUCAUACCAAUAGCCUUUCUUAAAUGUAGAAAAUGUUUUUGAUCCAAAGGCUUAGUAAAAAUAUCUGCAAGUUGAUUUUCAGUUGAAAUAUAUUCAAGUUGAAGAACUUUUGAUUCAAUCAAUUCUCUUAAAAAGUGAUAUCUUAGUUCAAUAUGCUUUGUUCGUGAAUGUAAAACAGGAUUUUUUGAAAUAUUAAUGGCACUCGUGUUGUAACAUAGAAUUGUAAAAGUGGUGGAGGAGAUUCGAUAAUCACUCAAUAAGCUUUUCAUCCAUAGUAAUUGUGUAGAGCAACUACGGCCGCAAUGUAUUCCGCCUCGGCAGUGGAGAGUGCAAUACAGUUUUUUUUUUUUUUUACUAUGCCAUGCAACUAGACAGUGGCCUAUAUAAAAGCAUGCUCCACUUGUGCUUUUUCGAUCAUCCCCAGAAUCGGCCCAAUCCGCAUCCGAGUAGCCAAUUAAAUCCAAAGACGUCCCCAUCGGAUACCAUAGACCAUAAUCGGUUGUACCUUUAAUAUAUCGUAUGAUUCUCUUAACCGCUUUCAAAUGAACUUCUUUUGGAUUAGCUUGAUAGCGAGCACAAAUUUCCACACUAAAAGCAAUGUCCGGUCUACUCGCGGUCAAAUACAGUAAACUGCCGAUCAUGCUCCUAUACUAUUUUUCAUCCACACUUUGUCCUUAACAUUCACUCCAAAUCCUUUGUUACUUGUUCCCAUCGGUGUAUCAAAGUUCUUUGCUCCAUCCAAACCGAAUUUCUUAACCAAUUCCUUUGCAUUCUUGGUUUGAGACAAAUGAAUUCUUCCUUUGAUUGUUUAACUUAAAGACCAAGGAAAUAUGAAAGCUCACCCAUCAUAGACAUCUCGAACUCACUAGUUAUCAACUUUGCAAAUUCGGCGGCAACGGUAUCUUUAGUUGCGCCAAAGACAAUGUCAUCCACAUAAAUUUGUGCCACAAUAAAGUCAUUUUUAGUGCGUUUUACAAAAAGAGUUCUAUCCGCUCCCCCUCGGUUGUAUCUCUUUUCUAAAAGAUAUUUUGUUAAUCGUUCAUACCAUGCUCGCGGUGCUUGUUUAAGUCCAUAAAGUGCUUUUUUAAGACGAAAAAUAUGAUUUGAAAAUUUAGAAUCUAUAAAACCUUUUGGUUGUUCCACAUAAACUUCCUCUUUUAAAAAAUCAUUCAAAAAUGCACUUUUAACAUCCAUUUGAAAAAGAGUAAUUUUAAAAUGACAAUCUAUCGCGAACAAAAUACGAAUAGAUUCAAGACGAGCAACCGGGGCGAAUGUUUCAUCAAAAUCAAUCCCCUCAAUUUGUGAAUACCUUUGAGCAACAAGUCUAGCUUUGUUUCGAACAAUUAUACAAUCCUCAUUUUUCUUAUUUUUCAAAAUCCAUUUAGUACCAAUAACAUUUUGUUGCUCAGGGCGUGGCACUAAUUCCCAUACAUCAUUGCGGGUAAAUUGACCAAGUUCUUCUUGCAUGGCAUUUAUCCAAUAUUCAUCACGAAGAGCUUCGUCAAUAUUCUUUGGCUCAAUUAGAGAUACAUAAUAUGCAAAUUCACAUUGAAGUUGACUUCUAGUUCGCACACCAACAUUAGGAUCCCCAAUGACAUUCGAUAAGGGGUGAUCUCUUGACUCUCUCAGGGGAGUAGUCUCAGAUGAUAUACUAGGUAUUUCAGAUGAGAUGCUUUGAGGCUCAGAUGAAUCAUUUGAUGCAACAAUUUCAGGAGAUGCAAUGAGAUUAUCAAAUACAGAAACAUUAUCAUUCAUAGGCAAUACAAACGGAGAAUCAUUAUCAUCAUCAUUCAUCAAAAAAUUAGAAGAACCAUUCACAGAAGUACUUACAGAAAAAGCUUCAUCUACUUUUAUGUUUAUAGAUUCUAUCACCGUCUUAGUUCGUAAAUUGUACGCACGAUAAGCACGACUUAUAGUAGAAUAACCAAGAAAGAGCCCCUCGUCACUUCGGGAGUCAAAUUUUUCAAGAUUUUCACGAUCCCGAAGGAUAAAACGCUUACUCCCGAAGACACGAAAGUAUUUAAUAUUAGGUUUCCUACCAAGCCAAAGUUCAUACGGAGUAUUCAAAGUACCCGGACGCACAUAAAUCUGAUUGAUAACAUAGACGGCCGUGUUAACCGCUUCGGCCCAAAAAUGUAAAGCAAUUUUCUUACUAUGAAGCAUAACACGUACCAUCUCUUGUACAACCCGAUUUUUGCGUUCUACCACUCCGUUUUGUUGCGGUGUAUAAGGAGCCGAGAAUUCAUGUUUAAUCCCAUUAGAAACACAAAAAUCAAUAAUUUUUGAAUUUAUGAAUUCUCCCCCUUGAUCACUUCGAAUACGUACAAUUUUAUCGUUACGCUCAUUCAUAAGACGAAGACAAAUCUCAAAAAAAGAGUAAAAAGUAUCGGCUUUUUCACGUAAGAAAGCAUUCCACGAAAAACGAGUAAAGUCAUCAACAAUAAGUAAUAUAUAGCGUUUGCCACCCAAACUUUGAAUCCUAGAAGGUCCCAUCAAGUCCUUGUGCAACAACUCUAAAGGUUUAGAUGUCCCUAAGUUGUUCAAAUUCUUAUGUGCGGAUCUAGUUUGCUUUCCCAGUUGACAACCCCCACACUUAGUGUUCUCUUUGAAAUCUAUCUUAGGUACACCUCUAACAAUUUUCUUCUUCGAUAAUUUUGAUAGUUCCUUGAAGUUUAUGUGGCCUAGUCGUUCAUGCCAUAAAGUUUCAGUCUCUAAUGUCGCUAUGUUACACUUUUACACUUUUCAGAUGAAGCACUAGGAACUACAUAACAAUUAUUCUGAGAUCUUACACCUUUUAAGAAAAGAUAAUCAUCGCGAGUUACAUUGCAUUCUUUAUCAGAAAAUUUCAUAGAAUACCCAUCAUCACACAAUUGGCUUAUACUUACGAGAUUUGAUUUAAGCCCCUUAACAUAAAAAAUAUCAUUCAAAGUAGGGCCAUCUGAGAUUGUAACUGUUCCUUUUCCGAUGAUUUUUGAUGACCGACCGUCUCCAAAAACAACAAGUCCUCCGGAGAUUUUAUUUAAAGAAGUAAACCAAUUUUUAUCACCGGUCAUGUGAGGGGAACAACAACUAUCCAGAUACCAAGAAGUAUUAUCGUAAGCAUGAAGCGAAGUGUGAAUGACAAGGCAUGGGAAGAGUUCACCUUUGCGCACCCAGACCUUACGUGUUUUGGGUUGCGACGACUGACUUGCUUUUGGUGAUCGUGGCUUGUCGACGAUUUGAGUUUACUUCUUCUUCAGAUCCUCCUUCUUUGGCUUCCAUGCUUAUUUUGCCUUUGAUUUCGGAGCAUUCUUCUUUGGUGUCCACGUUUGUUUCUUCUUAUGAUCAUCCUUUUUUGGAGUCCAAGUUGACUUCGAUUUUGGUUUAGGAUCAUUCUUCAUUGACUUUAAUAAUGUUCUUUGAUUCAAGGGUGUUGUAGAGCUCUUACCCUUUUGUUUGCAAAACCUUUUCACAUGUCCUAAAACACCACAAAGAUGACAAGUUUUGUUAGCCAAUGUAUUUUUAGGAGGGACAAACUUACCAUAAAGCUUAGGAACCGCUUUUGUCGAAUAUUCGUCAUCUUUCUUCAUUGCUUGAUCAAUAUACGUCCGUUCGUAUCCAAGUCCAAAUUUAUUUGUUUGACCAAGUCCGAGCAUCUUGUCAAAUUUGCUAGAGCUAGACAAAAAUUGAUUUAAAACCGAUUUGAGUUGGAUAAUAGUCUUGGUGAAUUCCAUAUUUGCUUCUCUAGCUUCCGAGUAUUGCUUGGUAAGAAAAUUGAUGUUUUCAACAUGAGACUCCUUUUUCUUUUCAAGUAAUGUACACUUCUCAAAUAAAGAAUCGUAAGCCUUAGUCAAACCAUAUCUUUCUUGUUCUAGAUCCUUUGUCAACGAGUCCAAUCUCGAAUUCUCUUGUUCCAAGUCAUGUAGUCUCCGCCGCAGCUUUUUGUUAUGUUUUGCCAUCUUCUUCGACUCGACAACCAAUUGAUGAUAUGCGGAAACCAUAUCAUCUUCAUCUGAUUCUUCAUCCGAUGAGUUCUCCGACGUAGAUUUCUCAUGCAAAGAGACAUAGAGAUAGAGUCAGUGGAUGCCAAACACAUAAAAUUAGAAUCAUGUGCAAUAAGCGCCGUAACGUUUACAUCCUCAUCACUUGAAGAUGACUUAUUCGAGGAUGAAUCAUCCUAAGUGAUGGCUUGCAUCACUUUCUUUUUCAAAGAUUUUUUAUUAGGGCAAUCCGAUGCAAUAUGACCAAAUCCUCUACACUUAUAGCAUUGGAUUUGACCUUCAUUACUUUUCUUCUCUUCAGAAAAAUCUUUUGAAGAGCUUUCGGAUUUUUUAUUCUUAGAAAAAGAAUAUGAAGACGAACUCCCUUUAGAUUUGCUUGACUUCGAGGAAGUAGACUGGAGGAAACUUCUUUCUAAAGUUUCGAUGGAACUUCUUCGUUAGAAGAGCCAAUUGUUUCUCAAACUCCUCCAAUGUUUGAUCCGAUUCCGAGUCCGAUGAAGUAGUCAUGUCAUCUCCUUUUGUUGAUUUUAAGGCCAUACUUGAAGUUUUAGAAGAAGACUUGGAAGAAGACGAAUUAGAAGGAAAAGUAAUCUCAUAAGUUUGAAGUGCACCAACUAAUUCCUCUACUUUUAAUUCAUCCGGAUGUUUUACCAUUUCAAUAGCCGCAACCUUUGGACGAAAUCGUUCGGGAAGGGUUCUCAAAAUUUUUCUAACAAUUUUAGAGUCCGGAAUUUUCUCGCCUAAGUUAGCACACGUGUUUACAAUAUCUUGCAAACGAGUAUAAUACUCGGUAAAGGAUUCAUGUUCUUCCAUACGAAUAGAAUCAAAUCUACUUGUAAGCAUUUGUAAUUUUUGAAUCUUUACCAAGCUUGUACCCUCGUGUGUAACUUGUAAAGUGUCCCAAAUUUUUUUGGCGGUUUGACACACCAAGACACGAGAAAAUUCGGUUUGAUUUAAAGCAUUAAAUAAAGUAUUGAUACCCUUUCCGUUGAACGAAGAUAGUUCGUUUUCCUAUUUCGUCCAUUUAUUUCUAGGUUUCGUACCAGUAACAUUCUUGACAACUUUGGUGGGAUGUUUCCACCCGAAUUCAAUGGCUUGCCAUACCCGUUCGUCGAUGGCAAUAAGAAGCGCCGUCAUACGGACUUUCCAAUAAGCGUAAUUAGUGCCAUCGAAGAGAGGGGAUCGAUUGAUGUUACCGCCCUCGGCCAUGAUUUACAAUAUAUACUCGCUCUGAUACCACUUGAAAGAUAUGGGUCCCAAGGAUCUAAAAGGUAAAUAACACCUAGAGGGGGGUGAAUAGGUGUAAAUGGCAAAAACCAAACCUCUCGAUGCGAAUAAAAGAGAUAGCGGAAAAUAAAAAAUAACACACCGAGAUUUAACGUGGGAAAACUCCAAUCCGGAGUGAAAAACCCACGGGACCGAUCACACAAAGAAAAUCCACUAAGAAAACUCGAGUACAAGUGAUUUAAUCAAAAUACAUGACUCAAUUUACCGAAUUCUAGUUGUCGAUUAUCUUCAUCCUCGAUCGAUAGGAAUCCUCCAAUCGACCCCGCCGUAAUUCCUUGCUGCGUCAACGCUUCAACUCCUCGAAACGUCCACCGAAUCAUCGGCUUCACGCGAGAUCCACGCGCCGAACCUCCUUCCGGAGCUCAUAGAAUUGAUGAUUUGUGGUGAUUAAGACUUAAAAUACCAUAAGCAAUGAGGGUUCAUCUUCUAAUCAAUCAUCUACUUAAUUCUCGAAGAAAAUCUCGAGUUAAAACUUAAGAAUCAAGUCGAUCAUUGAUUAUAUGAAACUCGUUAUAUGAAUAAAAUCAUAAGAACAUGAAAACAAGUUUCUAGUGUUUUUGAACAGUAGAAAUUCUAAGCCUCAACUCAUAUGAUGACCCCCAUGGCUUAUUUAUAGGUUUAGAAGACUUAGAAGUGGACUAGAAUUGCAAAAAGUCUAUUUUAAAAACUGGUGUCGUCCUUAGGGACCAGUCUUCUCGAGGAGACCGAUUUGUUAGAGACCGGUCCCUCGGGUGGGAGACCGGUCCCUCGCUGCGUGACAGAAAACACAACGUUCGGGAACCGAUCUUUCGUGCCAGAGACCGGUCUCUCCCUGCGAGUCAAAAAUUCCAACGUUGGGGAACCGGUCUCUUGUGCCAGAGACCGGUUGCCACGUCCUAGAGACCGGUCCCUCAGAUCAGGAGACCGGUUGCCUUGGACUUUCACGCAGAGAGGACUCUCGGGAAUCGGUCUCUCAUCUCAGAGGACCGGUCCCAGCACAUCGAAAACUUCAGUUUGUGUUUUCUAUAGCAAUCCAAGUCUUCUAAACUUAUAUUUAGGUAGUUUAAACACACUACAAAUAAUCUAACAUUCAUACCUGAGGUGUCGAGCUUUCCGAAUAGGUCUUUAAUUCUUCAAAGUGAAUCUUCUCUUCAAACCUCCACGAUCAACUCUUCAAGACUCCAUUCAACUUCACGAAAUCCGCCAACCUAGAAAAUCCUUAACAUAGUGACACCUAACAUAACCACAAUCCACCAGUGACACUUAGCAGUAUAUAGUGAAAAUCCAACAUAACCAAAUAACAGAAUCUAUAGGUACAGUUAGUAUGUGAUAUAAUCCUUCUAUUGUAAGUUCCAACACAGUGAAGAUUAUGGUAGUUCGUCAAAUCCCAUCACGGGUCAUAUGUAAAAUUUAUUUGACCUUAACUUAUAUGGUUUUUCCGAAAAUUUAUUUAUAUAUGAUAUACCAUUCUUACUCUAGCCAAAGAUUUCAUGAGCUAAGUCUCAUAAAUCAUAUAGGAUACUAAGGACAACAACUUCUUUUGAAUACUCUCCCACUACUACUAUAAACCUGCCAUAGCCAACAUGCACUACUAGAAAAUGAUAGCUAAUCUCCGGGAUAUUGUGCAGUCAGUCUACAACGACCCUAUCAGUGACUAGCCGAUUGAGGUGCUGCAAGUCGAAGAAUCAAACACAUAACUGCAUCACCAAGAACAUCACUGACGAGUAAGUAGAUUACCAUGUGACUUCUUGUGUUGGUCAAGUUCGGUAACAUUGUUCUUAACAACCACCUGCACUUUAGCUCUAGUGUCUCCACACUAUAGACUUGAGACUCUACCAAAAGAAAGCUUGUAGUGCACCAAUCUCAGUGGAUGCACCAUUGUCCCCGUAGUGAUCUAUCAAUCAGGAGCCUUUAGGAAUUAACCAUCAAUGACACAUGCCCCAGAUUCUCAGCUCCUGAGAAUAUGUACCAUAAUCUUGUUAAUCCUUGGAUGAUUCACGAAUAGAAUAAAAAACCUCAAUAUAUAUAUGUGUGUGUGUGUGUAGAGUCCCUGGUGUUCUGCAGCUCGUGGGUUUCAGCAUCGAAGGCUUGUUGACAUAUCUGGAGAGUGUCGAGACAAAUCGGAGUCGUUUUGGGCAAAAUGGACGCAAAACAGCCUCGACGCGAGGCGAGAGUGGAUUCUGAUGCUGAAAUCCGCAAAGUGCAGGAUUUCAGUGUUGAGUAUCGGUACCAAGCAGGGGAGUACCGAUACCCCAGUGUAAUUCCAGAACAAAAUGCUCUCGGGUUGCGCUAAUCUGAUGCUGAGUACCGGUACGGCAUCAGGCUGGUACCGGUACCUUGUGUGCAAGCUUGCGGGCUGAGAGGCCGAGUACCGGUAAACAAAUUGGGUACCGGUACUCCAGCUGGAUUUGUGAGUUCGUGAGGGGCCUUUUAGUCAUUUGAAGUGGCAUUAAUCUCAACCUUAUCCCACCUCUUUAUAUAUGUGUAGAGAGACAGAGAAUGAGCUUUUGGUUGCUGCUUCCUCUCUCUCUAGUUUGGAGACAUCGCUCGUGGUGAAGUCACGGCUCAAGCUCGGGUAGACUUCGACGUUGCACCGGGGAGCCGUUCGACCGUGCGAGCGUCGUGGUUGCAUCGUUGGGAGGCCGGGCGAGCGCGUGGUUUCCUCUCCUUUCGACUUCUCGCCGUAGUUGGACUAGCAUGUCGAGAUGGGUUAAUGUUUAUCGAAAUCGUCGGAGCUCCUCCUAAGUUUUAGCAUCGUCGACAUGUAUCAUUGGUUUAUUUCCUUAUUAGUACUCGAAUUCAUGGAUUAGAAUAUAAAAUCUGAAUUUGGAGUUAAGAUAGAAUUAUAAUUUUACAUGUUGGACUUGGAAUUGACUUAGGAGAAAACUAUUGAAUCAUACACUAUCAUUUCAAAAAAUUACCAGAUUUAGCUUUAUGAGCUGUGGUUCGUUUGUAUCGCCGCUGUUCAUAUGCGAUGGAUACCCAGAUGAGUGUAGGAUGAGUUUACGCUCGUGCUGGGAUGCCAGUUUAUUUUACAGUAGUGUGUAGACUGUUUUAGAUUGUCGGGUGCCGUCGCGGUUGAUGGUGGACCCAGAUUUCUGUGUUUUGCCUCAGAUUGUGCCAAGGGCACGUGAGCUUUGGUUGUUAGACCAGUUAGACUCAUUUGCAUUGACUAUAGCCUGUGAGAGUCUGAUUGAGCUCGACAGAGACACGCUUGCAUACUCGGUUGGGUCGCGCCCACGAGUGCCGCUCCAGAGUUUGGCUACGUGCUUUUGCGUUGAUGUCGUAGUGUCCAGUUAGGGCUUUGCUCUCCACCAGCAGCCCUCAGGGUGGUGUGCAGUGUAGCUUCAACAGGCGGGAUGGGUGCGUUCAUAGUCCCUAGUGAGUUUGGGUCAGAGAUUGCAUUUUUGUCAUAUCUACAGAUAGCCAGUGUUGGUUAGCGAUAGUAUAGUGGCAUCUAGCUGUAAGGUUUCCAGCUUUCCUUACUAUCUCUUACGCACUUUUCUGCAGACUUAGUGGGUGAGCCGUUGAGGUUGGUGACAGUACCCAUUGAGGACUACUUCUUUUUGCAGUAGUUCUUACACCCAGUUGUUUACCCUUUUUGCAGAGCCUUUAUCCGCGGCUGCUGCUGACGCUGUUUCUGAUCGUGGAAAGGGAGUCGGGAGCUAGAUCCUUUCCCUAGUUGCUGUGCUAGAGGGGUACCUUCCACAGGUAGUUUUGGGGCUUUUUGUACAUAUGGUCUUGUUGUCUGGGUACUUGCUGGAGCGAGUGGUGUAGUAGAUAUUUUGUAUGUACUGGAACCCCUCGAGGUUUUAUAUAUAUGUUUUCAGUUUAGUACCUCUUACCUCGUGGUUGUAGCUUGUUUGGUUUACAGGUACAACUAUCGUUUCGUAUACAGGGGAAAAUUCUAUGUAUGCGGCGGGUCUGUUGGCGUGCCCGGGGAAACAUGUAAUCCGGAGCAUGACAGUGUGUGUGUGUGUGUGUGUGUGUGUGUGUGUGCAGUACAAUCAUAUAACCAAUGGUAUAAUGUGCAUCGGCCUAUCGGCUACUAGGGCAUAGUACUAAAAAUCUCUCACUUGCACUAGAACCAAUCAGCCAAAUAUCUAAGAUCCACAUUCUCAAAGUGAGUAUCAAGCUUCUGCUGAUUAAGCAUUUUAGUUAGCAGGUCUACAACAUUAUCUGUAGAAGCUACUUUUUGCACCAUAAUAUACUUUUUGUCAUCAACUUAGUUGCGUAUGAUGUGUAAUAUAUACUAAACUUCAGUAUACCGUACUAAACUUUGGCCAAACUGUGCAAAAUAUAGUUAAAAAGUAAUUAUGGACAUGUUUGGAGAUGAGUUCCGAGAGUUUCGGAACAAUUGGAAGUGAGUUGGAGCUCUACGGAGCGAAACAGAAAUUUCAAGACAAAGCCCUUUUGGGCCAUCAAACUUUCAGGAUCCAAAGCUUGACUUAAGGAUUUAGACCUUGAUAUUUUUGUACAAAUGUAGUGUAUCAAAGUCUGGACCCAAAGGGAGGAUCCGAAUGUUUGCUGCGAAAAUGCUGAAAUCCAGCUUCAGGAUCCAAACCCUUGGAGCUGUCCGGACCUUGCCUGCACAGUCUGAGGACAAGGUUCAGGAUCUUGACCCUACCAGAGGAUACAUGUAAAGAAGUAAAUUCUCGAAAUCCGAGGAUUAGACUUCGUUUAGAAUCGACUAAUUGUCGAGGGAAUAAGCUUCGGAAAGUCCGGAGGUGAUUAAAAUGCAUGAAGUGCAUUAAGGAAGAGUCCGCGAGAGCAGCAGUGCAAAAUCUGCACUGGAGCAGAAUUGCUCUCGGGGACGGUCCCUGGCAGGGAAGGACCGAUCCCAUCAGGCUGGGCUGGCGGGGAUCCUUGAUGCAACCGGUCUCUGGCAGGGAAGGACCAAUCCCCGAACGUUAACCCAGCGAGAAAGGCCGAAAUUUGGCUAAGUCCCGAAAAUCCAACUCUCGGGAACCAGUCUCUCGGACAAGGACCGGUCUCCCGGGGGCUGGUCUCUCAGGCGGGGACCGGUUCCCGAACGCGAAACUCCCUCUGCCCGAGAUGGAAGGCUCUCGGGGACCGGUCUCCCCGACCUGGGACCGGUCCCCCGCUACGAAAUCAGCCCAGUGAAGGCUAUUUAAUAGAUGGAAAGUUGAGGGGCCUAUUUGUAAAAUGGCCUAUAUGAAGGUGGAGGACCUCUCUCUCUCUCUCAUUUGUCUCAUUUGCCCUCUUUUUCUCUCCCUUCCUCUCUCUAGAACAAAAGGACAAGACGAAGAGAAGAAGGAGAAGAGGGGAAAGAAGAAAGAGGAGAAAAAGGAGUUAAAGGGGAAGACUAAGAAGAGGAAAAGAUCACCUUUCUCUCUCUCUCCCUCAAGCUAGAACAAGCUUGGAGCUUGGUAUAGAGGUAAGCUCCAAACCCAUCCAUGGUGGAUUUCUUGAGAUUGGGUUUUAUUGCUUAGAGGUGGUUCGAAUGGAACCUAGAGGAGAUAAAUAGAUGGUUCUAGCAGCGGAUUCGAAGCUCGAACCAUAGAUUUCUCCCUCAUUGCCAUUUUAGGGCACGUUUUGGGAUUUUUAGAAAUGUGAGGUCUUGAUCUAUUUCGACGGGUUGUGAACCUAAUUGCUAGGUCUCGGAACGCGCCGGCGAAGACGGUUCGUCGAUACGACGAGCGGGUGCGAAGAUAUCGCCGAAUCAAGCGCUUAAGGGUUCGAAUCGACCCGAGAAGCCGAAGCAUCGACCAAGGACUAUGAAGUCGAGUUUCUACCAUCGCGGCAUCACCAAAAAGGUGGGUGGUGACCAUCCCGAAGCAACUGGAUUCCCCUUUAUGUCUUAGUACCUUAAGAUCUUACAUCUUGUGUUUACAUGCAUUGUAGGAUAAUUGUGCAUUGCCUUUCCUUAUGCUUUCCCAGAUGAUAUCAUAUUAUGCAUUAGUUACUUGAUAUAGUGGAUUGAUGAGGAUUGGGUCGAGGCUUGUAAUCCUAUAGUGCAGAGGGAAAAGAAUGACGCAAUGGUUGAAAUAAGAGAACGAGUGGCAUCUAGUUGAUAAUGAACCAGAGAACGAGUGGCAUAUGUGAAUCUUAGUGUAGCUGAAACACUAGAUUGAUGAGUAUAGAAACUCAUUGGUUCUAUGUUGAUACUAUCCUUAGCUGAUAGGGUAUCCUCGAGUUGAGAGGAUUGGAUCAUACUCACUGUCUGUUCUUGACUUGUGAUGGUCGCUCCACACAAGUAGUGCGCUCCGGAGUUGGUCACGUGGGAUAGCCUAUUUGGGGUCCCGUGGGAUAGGGAUAGCCUAGUUGGUGUCCCGAGGGAUAGCCUAUGUGGGGUCCCGCAGACGGUCUCGGAUUCGUAGUUUGAGUUGAGUCUCCCUACGCGUCGAGAUGGCUAUGUGAGUAGUAGGUGAACCCUCGAGUGAGCCACGAGAUUGAUGAACAAGGAAAUAGCUUUAAUUCUUGGACAUAUGACGAACUAGUUGAUUACCUACUUCAUUGUGCAUGCAUUUUACAUAUACAUGAUUCGAGCAUAGUAGUGUAGCUUUACUAUUCUGUCAUCACAGCUUUACAUAUUUAUCUAUCUGUUUAUCUACUUGUGCCCACUUGGACCUAGUGGGGAGACCGCCGAAGUCGGCGACCGAACCCACUGGGAACUAUGGAAGAUAGUUCUCACCCUACUCUUUAUAGGUCCGAGUUCGAGUGUCCCCGGCAAGCGUGAGGAUCGUGGCAAGGGCAUAGCGCCCUAGUGGUAUAUGUACAUAGCUAGCUUUACUUCCUUUUGCAUUAGCUCUACCCUGUACUUAUGUUUGAGAGUAGAUGUUGUAUAGGGUGAGGUUUGAAAGUGCUUGUACAGAUGUUCUGCAAGAAUGUAAAAGAUGAAAUUAAAUAUAUUAAGUUGAAUGAAUGUAAUAGAUAGAACCUUCUCUCUUUACUUACUGGUUUGUCUCAUACUCGUAUCUUGCUCUUAUCUGUUAGCACUGGUGGUGCUCCUUGUGAUCGUGUAUGUAUGAAUUGAUUCCUGGGUAAAUUCUUAUACAUGAUUAGUUUGCAUAGCCUUGGGCGGACAGGGGAGGUGCUGUCCGUUCGGCGUCUGUUUGACGCGCCCGAGCCGGACCGAAUUGGUUUUGGGGUCGCAGCGUGACAAUAUGGAUCCUUUAUGGGCUUAAAGUGCAAUUCAGGGGGUUUUAUACAAAUAUCGCUAAACCCUUUUAAAGGAGGACCAAGCCCUCUAGUCCCCAAUAUGAACACACACUCUUCUGACCCUCUCUCACUCUAUUCUCACUCUCUCUCUAGAAAUCUCUAAAAUAGUUGGAGAUUUGGAAACUUGAUCUUGGAGUUGGAAUGAAGUGCAAGCUUCCUAGAGCAAGAAGAAGGUUGGGGAGCUUUGAGUCAAGAUGAGUUUUUUAGGAUUAUAAGUUGGGGUUUUGGAUUUAGCCAUUAGAUUUGGGAUUUUAUCAAACCCUGGGCAAGUCUAGACCACAAGUGGUAAAGAUUUGCCAUGAGAUUUGGAUUCUGCUCUAAUUUUGAGGGAAUCCCUAGGGUAAUUGAAGUUUUGAAUUUUAAGGGUUUAAAAAUAUUUUGACCCUUUGGAACUCUAAUUGAAGGUUAGAGAAACACAUAGGAAACCUCAUUUCAAGGAACAAAAGGAUUUCGAUGAUCAAUUUGAAGUAACAAACAAAUUUUGGGCGUUUUUGGGCAAGAAAGCUUGGAAUCAAGCAAAUAGCCGACGAAAGCCUAAUUGCAAGUAUUUACAAGCAAUUAGGAGCAUGUUGAGGUGGGUCAUGCUCUACUGAAGUGAAUAAGUUACUUUCAUGUCUAGAGAGUAAAUAACUAAAUUAAGUUAUACAUGUUGCAUUAUAGUCUAAUUAUUAAAUAUGCAUGUAUGAGGCAUAUGUUACUUGGAAUGAUUUUACUAUUUAUGCAUGAGUAGAUGUGCAUGCAUGUGAUAUGUAUUAAGUUAGAAUAACUAAUUCUCUUUGAACAAGUAAAUGCAUGCAUUGUUAUAUUACAUUUUAUGUUAUGGACUAGAUGUAGGUUGGCAUUCUCUAGAGUUGGUAGAGAACUCAACACAUGAACAAUCAAAUACAUAGUGCCAUUGAACAAAGGCGGAAAACGUAGUGAUAGGAUGACCACUUGGACAUGAAUGACAUUAAAUCUAGAGAGGUUGACAACAUUGGGUGAAACAUAUGAAUCCUUGAUGAGACUAUGAAAGUGGUGAUUUUGCUACUUAUGUACUUGGGGCAAAAAAAAAAACAGGGACAACGAUUCCAUUUCCUAGCACCUAAUGAACGCGGCGAUUUUGUGGCUUAUGGACUUAUGGCUAAGUGGUGCCGCAAUUUCGUUACGUAAUGCAAAGAUGAAGGCGGCAAUUCUACAUGUCAUUGACUCAAGAUAGAGUUGGGUGACAUGAUUAGGAUAAUGAAGUUAGUGAGUAAAUGGUAGUUUACAUCACAUGAGUAGAUUUUAUUAUCAUGAGUGUAGGCAUAAGCAUGAUUACUUUUAAUUGCAUAUAGUAAAGAUUUAUAUACUUACGUGAUUAUCUAUUAUUUUCUAACUUAUGCUUAUGUUGCCUCCUUUAGACCUGAUGGGUUGAGCUUUUUCCUUGGGUGACUGUACCCACUAGCAACUAUGUUUAUAGUUCUCACCUUAUGUUUUUCAGGUCCAUUUACAGGCGACACGGCGGAGCGAAGGAAGGCCGUAGCACCAUAGAUAGUGGCCUUUCCACAUUUUGAGGUCUUUAUAGAUGUACCCUUUGUGGACAUGUAAUGAAAGAAAAAUAAAAAUUGUAAAGCUCAUUGUGAGAUUGUAUUGGGAAUUCAGAUGUAAACACAUGCAAUGAAACAUAUGAACGAAUAGAACCAUGUAAUAGAAAAUAGUUUACUUUCUGUUGUUAAUAUUCUCCUUAUGCAAUCCUUAUAUAUACUUCCUAGUUGGGAUGUGUGGUAAAUACAGAUUGUGACGCUUUGGGAGGCUAGGAGAAACUUUGUCUAUUCGAUAGGUCUAGUACUCGUGCUCGAUAGUGCUUCCAUUGCGGGCUCGGGGCGUGAAAGACUAAGGUGGUAUUAAAGAGUGGAAAUGAUCUAAAUGGACCAAGGAGACUGUAGUAUGGAUAACCUUUCGGACCUAGGCUCGUAAGAGAUGAGGACUUAUGAAACAUAGCAGAAGUUGAAUCAAUUGGUUCAAGUCGUUGUAUGACUCUAAUAGGAUGUUAGAGAUAGACUCAAGGUGUGGUUUAUUCUAAGCCAAGGAUGUUCAUGUUAGCGGCCAACAACAUAAAAUCAAAUGAUAGGAAUAAGCGCCUUUACAUAACUUUCAUAAAAUUUGAGUUUGUUAGUCGAACAUUAUUUUAUAUUUGGCCAUGAGAGUCAUGUUAUUGAUCAAGUUCACUGUGUUUCAGAAAGCGAUGAUGUAUGAAUGACCUACGACGAAGUCUAGGGCGAAAGAGCCAAGUAAGGACCCCGAGCAAUCUGAGGCAAGUGGCGAUAUGGAUCUCCGCGAACAAUUAGCUGUGCUCAUUAAGGUAUUGCAAUGGCAAGUGGAGACCGCACAACGUCAGAAGGAGUAGAUCAAAAGGUUCCAAGAGAUAGCGGCACAACAAAUGCCUAUCGCUAGGGUGAGCUAAGAGCAACAAGUGGCCCCAAUAUCAGUGUCUCGAAUAUAGUUGAGGGGGUAACUACGGCAGUCGUACUUGUAGCGGCACAUCCUACGCCAUCGGUAACCGCAAUAGAUUUGGGCACUUCUGUCCCCAAUCAUGUGGCGAUGGAGGCAUUGAGGGAGUGAGCAAUUUGGACUCUCAUGACCUUCAAAAAAUUCAAUUCGCCUAUCUUUGACGGAGAAACAAAGGAUCUAUGGGUCGUGAAGACGUGGAUCAACUCCAUGGAAAUCCUAUUUGAGGACCUAUACAGACAAAGUGCACUUAGCCGCACGUUACAUGGAAAAGUUGAUGGUGUAGCAGAAGGGUUCAAGCCAGACCGAUCUCCUAGUCUCCCUACGGUGUCAUGGGAGAAAUUCCGGAGGUUGGUAUUCUCUAUAUACUUCCCUGACAGUGAGAAGAGGAAGGUCCAAAAAAAUUUUCAAAAGUUGGAGCAAGAAAACCACACGAUAAAAAAGUAUGAGCAGGAAUUCUCUCACAUUGUCAACUAUAUCCCGUACGUAGUUCAGGAUGACAAAAGACAAGGCCUAUUGUUUCAAGUGCAUAUUUCGGCUUAAGGUUGUGUAUUACUCAAGUUGCAAACAUUUGCCAAAGUGUUGGAUUGGGCAUUGUGGGUGGAACAGGGCAAUGCUAUCAUGUAAGAGGAACGCAAAUCUUAGAUAAAGAGAAGGGGAAGAACCGACAGGCAAGUAGUUCGAGUGGUCAAUCGAGAUCUAAAUGACCACCGAAGCAUCUCCAAAUCACGAUCUCAAGCCCUAGAGUUGUUCACCACCCAAUCCUCGUUAAGGUGCGUCAUUUGUGAUGGCCCUUAUAAAUUGCAUCAAUAUGAACAGCGAGAGCGCAAGUUUUUUAAGUGUGGGCAGUCAGGACACAGGCAGUUUGAUUGCCUACAGGAUGAUGGUCGGUGUAACGUAUCAUUUCCUCAUAAAUCGUGCCGAGUUCCGUCGAAGCGAGCGGAGCGCGGAGUGGAUCGAGUUGAAACGGGUUCUGAGCGCAUUGGAACCUUGAUAUAGUGCAAAGGGACCCGAGAGAGUGAAACUGGAAAAUCUAGCCAAGUCCCAGAUUUUGGACUCUCGAGGACCAGUCCCUGAAGGAGAGACCGGUCCCCGUACACGUAGCCAGCCAAAAAGGGUAGAAAAUCGGCUAAGUCCCCUGCAGGGAGAGAUCGGUCCCUGUAAGCGAAAAUGGCCCCCAGUGGCUAAGUCCUGGAAAACCCACUCUCGGGGACCGGUCCCUGCGGGGAGAGACCGGUCCCCGUAUGCAAAAAAUGCCCAGUGAGGGCUGAUGUGAAAAAUGGAAUUAAGAGGGGCUUAAGUGCUAUUGUGACAUGGUGAAUGGUUAUAUGGGCUAGGGCUUGGGUGAGGGCUCAUUUGCUCUCACUCCAACACUAAAACCUUUCCCUCUCUCUCUCUAAAAAACCCUAUUUCUCUCCCUCCUUAUCUCUAGCGCUUGGAUCAAGGGAAGGAUUUGGAGGAGAAGAGCUUGGAGAAGAAGCUUCCUAAGGUGGUGGCUAGCUUGUGCAAGGCUUUUGAAGGAAAAGCUUGGACUCCAAGGUGAGUUUUCAAGGUUUUGAGUUAGGGUUUGAGUAAUAGCUUCUUGUAUGAGUAUCUAGGAGUUUCUAUGGUAGAUUUCCUCCAUGAAUAUGCAAGCUAGGGGCUUGUUUGGAGAAGAUGACAUUGUGGAGGGACCCAAAAUUAGGGUUUUGUAAUUUUAAGGUAAAAGCUUGGGCUUGAUCUCUUUUUAACCUAAUUAGUAGGUCAACGAAUGCGUUGGUGCGCUCGAUUUGGCGAUACGACGAGCGUAUGCGGAGAUAUUGAAGAAACAGGCUAAAUCGGUACAGAUCGUCGCAGCUUGCGGCGUAUAAGUCUAAAAAUCACGAAAAUUGAACUACGGCAUCCUAGUAUCACUAAGAGGUGGGGGGUGCUAUCCGAAAAUACGGAAUUUCCUUCUAUGUCUAUGUUACCAUUUUUGAGCAUAUUGAUGUUAGCAUUCAUGCAUAUAGGGUAACGUGAUGAAUAUGAUUGGUCGAGAUUCAAUUGUAUGCUAGAGAACAUAUGAAUUGAUAUAGAACCAUUUGAACUAAGAAUGUGAAAAACCCUAUGUGUAUGUGAAUGUAUGUAAAAAAGACUAUGACAGUAGUAAACAAUGGUAACAGUGACAUUAAUGACGAGAUUGGCACCGAGAAUGUAAAUGACUAAACAAGGUUUAGCUUAUUGUGGCAUCAGGACCGUUGUGGCUCAGGUAUAGUGGAAAUGUGAUAUGGUAAUAACCUAUCAUGGGCAUUGAGGCUUUGUGCAUUGAGACAGGUUUGGCUACGUCCUCACAUUGAGAAUUGGAUCGUACUCACAAAUUGGUUUCGGCUUGAGAGAGGUAGCUCCUCCUCAAGCGUUGUACUCCGAAGUGUAGACACCACGGGGAGAGUACCCCGGCGAAGAUCCCUCAGGUGGUUGAGCCUUGUGCCUCCCCCGGUAGACGGGAUGUGUGGAUUGUGAGUUUGGGGUGAACCAGGAGUACCCCGGGAUGAUUGGAUAAAGGCCAAGUAAAAUAAGAAAUGGACAUGCAUGCAUAAUUAUCAUGUACUUGAUUAUCUAUCUAUCGGUUGAUAUCUUUCUUGCAGGCAUUGUAUUAGUUGCAUUAGUGGGUUUGAUAUUCUCCUUUAUUGAAAUACAUAUGCUUGAAUAGACCUAGUGGGCGAGUCGGUGCGGUCGGCGGCCGAACCCACUGGGAACUUCGUUUUAGUUCUCACACCACCACUAACCCUGCAGAUCCAUGCGCGAGCGGGGCGGCGGAGGAUCGAGACAAGGGUAUCGCGCCGUAGAUAGCGGACUUCGGAGUAUAGGUAUACCCUAUAUAUUAUAGCUUCAACUUUUGUAUGUUGAACAGAAAAAUGAUGUAAACCUUUUAUUUUGGUUAAAGGAAAAUGUGAUGUAAAUGUGAAUGAAUGGAAAAAAUGAAUGUAAAUGUAAUAGAUUUACUUGUGUUUGAUUCAAAUGAAAUCAAAUGACUUGUAUGUGGAUAAAUGUUUAGUUUAGUAUCGAUGCUUUCACAUGUAAUGGUUGUUGUUUGCCCUCGUGCAAACCUUGUAUAAUUGCAUUCAUCUGUAUUGAAUUGCUUGUAUUAUACAUGUGGUGGAGCCUUGGGCAGACAGGGGAGGUGCUGUCCGUUCGGCGUCUGUUCGCGUGCCCGAACCGACCAAAUUGGCGGCUCCGGGGCGUGACAGAUAGUUUGGUAUCAGAGCAAAGUGAAAGCAAAAGUCUAGGACGGACUUAGGGACCUUAGGAUUGGAGACCAUCGGAACUUAGGAAACAUAUGAUGUGAACUUGGUUAACACGGAAGCUAAUUGAUUGGGUUAUGAUUAGAACUUCUCUAAAAGGACUUAGAGAUGGAUUCAAGGGAUUGUUUGUUUUCUUCCUAAGGGAUUAUGUGGGGUGGCCGACUACAUAAUACCAAGGGUAGAAAAUGAACACACUUGAUUACUUCGCUUAAUUGGGUAGUUAUUUGGAAUGUGUAAGUGUUACGCAUGUCGAGUAUUAAUGUGUGUGUCUCGUUUCAGGAACUAAUGUCCCCGAGACGUUACACGCGUAGGUCCGCUCCGGCAUUGCCUGAUGAAGUGCCCGAGCAAGCGGGAUCUGACGAAGUUUGAGAGUUGCGGGCCCAAGUAGCAGCUUUGGCUGGGGCUAUGCGACAGCAAGGGGAGCAGAUAGAACGGCUCCAUAAGUUGGUGGCUCGACAGGCAGCGGCGGCUGCACCUGUACCUCAGGACCCGCACGCACCUGUGUCACCUACUCCAGCGGUGGUAGUGGCACCGCCGACGGCUUCGGGAUCUUCGGCUCCUAUUCCGGAGACACUUGAAGCCGAGCAAGAGCGCUCAUUGGCGGUGUUGACGGCUUUCAAGCGGUUCAACCCUCCGACUUUCAACGGGGACGUGAAAGAUCCGUGGGCGAUGGAGAAUUGGUUGGCCGCGAUGGAGGCAUUGUUCGAGGAUAUCUACACCCUCAAGAAGGAUAAGGUUCACCUUGCGGCCCAUUGUUUCGAGGGGUCGGCUCGGUUAUAGUGGACGCAAGCGAAGAAAGGUCGAUCAUUGGAUCUUGCUUCCUUAACUUGGGAGGCAUUCCAGAAGAUGUUGCUCAUGAAGUAUUUUCCUGAAAGCGAUAAGCGGAAGAUCAAGGAGGACUUCCGCAAAUUGAGGUAAGGAAAUCGAUCGGUGCGGGAAUACGAAAGGGAGUUCUCGCAUAUGGUUAACUGUGUGCCGGGCUUGGUUCAUGGUGACCUAGACCGAGCGGAGGUCUUCGAGCGUGGGUUGCGGCCCGAGAUAUUCAAGGUCAUUCAUGCCUUUCGGUUAAAGACCUACGAGGAUGUACUCGAUCGCGCGCUAUGGGUGGAGCGCGGCAACUCCAUUGCGCGCGAGGAGCGCGAGGCUUUUGAGAAAGACAAGGAUAGGGAGAAGUCCAAGAAGCGAGUGGCUGGUGGGUCCGCGGGGCAGUCGAGUUCUAAGCGACCCCCUCGGUACCGAAGAUCGCAGUGGCGGGGAGGCAGAGGCCAGACGAGGAGUCAGAUGACUUCCUUCCCGUGCGUGAUCUGCGGCGGGAAUCAUAGGCCCAAUGAAUGUUCUCAGCGUGACAGGAGGUGUUUUCGAUGCGGCCAAGCGAGACACUUGAGUUGGGAUUGCCCGGGCUGCACAUCACCUGUUCCGUCAGCUGCUUCGGCUCAGUAUGCUCCACGACAGCUUGCAGGACUACCAACUGCUAUGUCGGCUGGGCGCGCUUCAGCACCGCGUCAGCCGGAGGGAUCAUGUGCACCGAGUGGAUGAUUUUUCGCCACUCAGGUGGAGGAGCAGCCUGCUGUACACGACAACGUCAUGGCAAGUAUUAUUCUGAUUAAUGGCAUUAGAGCAAGGGCAUUGUUCGAUACGGGUGCAUCACAUUCAUUUAUUGGUGUAUCAUUUGCUAAGACUCAUGGCAUGGAGAUAGUGCAUAAUCAUGAUUAUUGGUGGGUUAAUGCGCUCGAGCACUCGUUUAGAGUUCAUGAGUGCUUAGUUUGUCCUGUUCAGAUCGGCGAGUGGAUCAUGCCGGCGAACUUGCUAGUGUUAAAGCAGAUGUGGGGAUUCGAUGUCAUCUUGGGAGUUAAUUGGCUCUCCAAGUACUAUGCUAGUAUUGACUGUGACAGCAAAGUGAUCACUUUUCGUGAGCCUGGUCAAGAGGAGUUGGUGUAUCAAGCGUGCAAGAGCUCGCGUUUCACGACGACUGUGUCGGCGGCGAGGGCGAGAAAGAUGAUCAAAGGCGGAUGUGUGGGCUAUUUGGCGACCAUGAUAGAGGCUCAAAAGGAGCAUCCGAAACUUGGAAAUAUCCGAGUAGCAUGUGAGUUCUCGGAUGUGUUUCCGGCGGAGUUACCGGGAUUGCCACCUGAUCGAGAGAUCGAGUUCGUUAUUGACUUGAUUCCCGGAGCGGCGCCAAUUUCGAAGGCUCCGUAUAGAAUGGCACCGGGGGAACUUAAAGAGUUAAAGGCCCAAUUAUAGGACUUGCUCGAUAAAGGCUUUGUGAGGCCGAGCAUGUCACCGUAGGGAGCUCCGGUGCUGUUUGUGAAGAAAAAAGACUGUACACUUCGACUCUUCAUUGAUUAUCGAUUCACGUAAGUAGUAAACUGUUUAAAGUUUUCUACUUUAUGUAAUGAUACUAUUGAAUAGUCUAGGACUGGCAAGUAUAGGAAUAGGACAACGAGGAAGGUAUAAGGAGAAAUUAUGAAAAGCUAGAUAUGAAUAGAGAUAAAACAUUAAGGUAAAAGAUAUGCCAUAACUAAGAGAAUAAAAGCAAACUGGCUUCUCAAUAAUUACGGAAAAAAUUUCUUACUGGAUUUAAUAGAAGUUCUGGACUUGUCCUAUGAGAAUGGAAAUAGGAAAAAGAAAAAAAUAAUUAGAUCCUUCAAAAUGAAGAACAAGAACUUCAAUUCAAAACCUACGUAAAGGUAAAGAUGUGAACGAAUCAUGCUUAUGAUAAAUACUAUGAACCAAGGGAAAAUAAAAAACAAUCACCGCAUGAAAGCUCAAUGAGAUUGAACUAAAAAGCAGCAUGUGGUAGACCAAAUGGAUCCACAUUAUAAUAUAUAAUCAGACCUAUCUAUAUUCAUGCUCAAUACUUCCAAAUGCAUAAAUAAAUCCAUAAAGCAUGGCAGAACUAUCAAACUUUCAUGCACACCACAAAAUCAGUGGUAUCUACAGGAAAUAUAGCAAUGAACAGAUAGAGGUCAAUGAAAUAGAACAUAAGCUACAAGCCUCAUCGCAUAAAUAUAAUUGGUUUUAGCAGAAAAGAAUAACAAAUAAUGCGCUAAACAGUUAUGUAAGUUGCAUGGCUCGAUGCCAGCAAAUAAUCAUACUAGAGAUAGGAAAGAAAUAUUUUAGACACACACAAAAUUUGCUGAUUUUCUGGGCCAAUUUAAACUAUUCUCAGUACAAAUCACGAAUUUCAGCAUUCACGGACUUUGUAACCCAAACCACAUAUUAUCUACUCCCUCUUACGCUACACUAUAGAUUCUUCCAUUAACAAUAUGGACCAAUAAACAAUAAGAGAAGGGCAAAAUGCUAAAAAUGUGCAGAAGACUAAAAGAAUUUAGAGUAAUUAGAACUUCAGUUUAACCUCUGGCUUGUUAUGACUUUCUACUUCUUGACAAGAAAAAUUCUACAAAUGUAAUUAACCAUACAAAAGAUUCGUAAUGAUUGAAUGCAGUGCAGGGAAAAAGGAGACAUGGAAGAUGUGGAGUGCAGCCAUUAUCCCGUUAUGAUGCCACCGUAAUAAGGUCCCAGAAUGGAGUAUACGUAGACAGUCCUAAACUUCAACAAUGUAGCAUGAAGUAACUGCUUUAAGGAAGCAUGCAACAUAAGGUUACAAGCCCAAGACUUUUAACAUUGCACCAAGGAAUGGUUAUUAAAUAGAAAAACUGUGAUCAUUUCAUAAGUACUCUUUUAUACACUUCGCUCAAGAAACCAACGGAAUGCUAAACAAGUAAACAAAGUUAAUCUUCUUGACAAUAUAAUAGUUAUUGGACACCUUACAGGCAUUCCAAACCAAAGGGCGGCAUGGAAAAACUGACAGGGUACAUGAAAUAGACAGCCUGAGCUAUUAUAUCCUAAACAAUUUUUGAAGUAUCUAUCCUGUGUAUUGCCUGCCUAUGGUAAAAAGCACUUUCACUUGUUGUUGAUGAAUGAUGAUGCAGUAAUGGUUGGUCAUUUAGAAAUAUUUUACUAAAUCAAAAUGGUAGUAGAGAUAUUACUUUCAUGAUUAGUGGCACAGUUGACAUGGUUAACUAGACUAAUAUAGUUAAAUUUGUUAUAAUUGCAUAAAGAAACUCUAAUGCCAUAUACAUGCAGUGACAAAUAAUAUCUUCAAUUUGUUCCUCUAAAACGUUAAUCAAAUGGUUAAUUAUAUCCAACUUAAGAUAGUUUUACAAUGUCAAAAAAGAUACACAGUACUUGCAGCAUAAAAAACUUACUACAAUUUUUUUCGUAAAGACGAUGGGAGAUGUUAAGAUUGGGUACCUGUAGGCACAUUGCAGCCUCCAGAGUGUUCCGAAUGCAUGUUAGAUACAAUGUAGAGUAUUAGCCUACUAAGAUCAAAACAAACAGAAUAUAAAAACCAUGUAACUUAACUGAAAAAACUAUUAAAAGAAGCAAUUGUAGUAUAAAGUUUCUCUAAAAUUCAAAAAUUCCGCCCAUUGGGGUGGAACUAGUGUAUCAAAUCCACAAAAAAAUGGUAAAUUUAGCUUUUCUAAAAUGGCAAGGACAGAGACAAGAACUACAAAACCAACUGAUUUCAAUCACAAGAACAAAACUUCCAAUUCAGCAAUUCCAAGUCAUGGGUAUGCUAUAGGUGGAUCGAAAGCGAAAAGGCGGUAAAGUUGAGAUAAUUUGGCUUUACAUAAAAAGACCAAAAACAGAUAAGAAUAAUAAACAAGGAGAGAAUUGAAUAUAAAACUACAUGGACGUGCUAUCGGUGGAUCCAAUGACAGGACUGAGAGAGAAAGUUGGGCUAUUUUUGUUGAGCUGUUGUCCAGUGUGGCCUAUGUGCAGUCGCACGACGGCAGAGACUAGGUGAUCCAUGCUAUGCACACUAACAGAAAAGUUAAAUGUUGGAUAUAGGAACUAGACCCAGAACCUCUUGAACCUUAUAACUGACUCUAAUCCCAUGCGACCCGAAAGACCAAUUCGCCUAAUAGCUCUAACAUUCAGAAGCGCAAGAACAGAAAGAAGCUACACUACCAUUACAGCGGCUCCAAGACAUAGGUAUGCUAAAGGUGGAUCUAGAAUAUGGAAUAAGACAAUAAAGUUGGGAUCGAUCUUUGACUUCCCACGAGUGCAUAGAACAGGUAAUAACAACGAAGAUGACUGAUUUGAGGCCUACAAACUACAUUCACACAAUUGGGCAAUUUCACACGAUAUUGAUGCAUCCAAACUAGAAAAUGAGACCCUCGGAAUGGCAAAAUUGUAGAUGAGUACUGACUCGAUUACAAAAACUAGAGCACCAAAUCGAGAAUUCGGAGACAGGGAUUUGAUUAGGGCAUCUCCAUAUGCGGUGCAGAGAGAGAGAGAGAGAGAGAGAGAGAUACCAUCCGUGUGGGAGCUGCGGCGAUGGGUCAAGGAAUCAGGAGAAUAUAUAACUACUCACUAUUUCUCUUAUUCUAUAUUAUCUAUCCAAACGCUAUUUUUUUUAUCCGAAAACAAUCCAAUUUUCACCCAAACGCUAUUUUCCUUAUCUCCACACUUGUACCUAUUUCUGAAAUAGCUAAUUCUCGUUUAUUCCCGAACCAAACGGUGCCUACAUAUACAAUACACGAAUAGAUCCAAUCCGCCAA